rnacentral:lncRNA from 1 species
GGGCUUAGAAAGUUUCUUUGGGUUGAUAGACCCGAGUGUGAUCCAUCUGUGGCAGAGUCAGUCUGUCGAUUCAGUUCAGAGUUUGGUACGAGUAGUGGAUGCAAUCCAGCUGACCUUAUGGUUCUAGAGUUGACUAGUGAUGUCAAUCUAGGGCGGAUUGGCUAGCUACUCGAGGUACUACCUAAGUCUGCAAUGACAAGGUAGGAGGAGAGUUCAGAGUUCAGAGGCUCGGAUGGAUCAGAGUUAGUCCUUAGAGGGGACAAUAUAGCAUACCCAGAAGUUUGAUAUCAGCCCUACAGACUCGUGCAUUCUUUAGGCAGGGUAAUCAGGGGUUUUCUUGCUCUUGUUUGAGAGCAGAAUAGCCAGGUCAGGGAACCAGCCUCAGUACGCAUAGACAGAAAAAGAGAAAGAGAGUUAUAUGUGUUAUCCCAGACAAACUAUCAGGAUUACCAAUAGAGUCUGGACGUGAAGUGAGGAUGGAGACUAGACUCAUCUUCACCUCUUCCUACGAACAGUUGAAAAAGUUGUAAGAACGAGAAAAGCAGUUGCGUAAGUGAGAAGAUAGUAGAGCAGUGUGAACUUGGUAGCGAAGGAUUCUAUCCGACUUAGUACUACACACCCUGGAAUGUACCAGUGUCGGUGUAAGAACGGAAGGAGGAAACCUUGAGACGUUGUCACAGCUGUGAGCAGUUGUACAAGGUCACUACCAAGGACAGGUAUUCCCACGCAGGAAUAAUGCUCGGUGGAGACAGCUAAUGGGAGCUGAUUAUCCUCCACGAUCAAUCUAAAAGGGGGGAACGAGAUGUUGAGACUGGAGACUGAGAGAGAGAGCGGUAAAAACAAAGAAAAGAAGAGCCAGUAUAGGAACGAAGAAGAAAGGCGGGCAAAGAUCAGAGUGGCGCAGCAAAAGCGUAGAAUAGUUCAGAAACAUAGAGAAGCAUGCCCAGUAUCUACUAAGUGUUGUAGAUAAGAGAACACGGCAUAGAGGCCAAGUUCUGGAAUAUGAGUUUGUGACGUGUCACAAUACGAUUUCUACAGUAAGUAGAAAGUUGACGCGGGGUAGCUAACAUUUCCUUAGAGUUAGUGCUCCUCUGCUCGGGUUGAAUAAAAAGAAGCAAAGGUGAGUGUAACCAGAGUAGUGUAAAUAGAGCUGAGAAAAGGUAAAGAGAAAGAAAAGUCAGUAGGGAGCAAAGAGAGUCAAAUGGACUGUGUCCAGACAGGAGUGAUCAGUAAUCAGUGUAGCGUGUGGACACAGCUUAAGCAGUUAAGGGUCAGCAGAGUCAGACAGGAUAGCCAACCCGGGAGUUUUACUCCAGGGGUAUCUGUGCCUCUUCGUAGAGAACGAUGUGAGGCUUUCUUUAAUUGCUUGUUUCCCUGUAUGUUUAUUGUGUGAACAUUCGAGGACGAAUGUUCUUAAGGGGGGAAGAAUGUAAUACCCGGCAGAUUCAGACAUCGGAAUUUCUACCGUCCGGUGGAAUUCGAGGAUGUCAGAGGUUUCUCGAAGGGUAAGAGAAAGGUUUUCUAAAAUAUUUUUACGUAUUGGAAAGGUUUAGAAUGAAAAAUGAUUGAGUUUUGAAGAGAAAAGGCUUAGGGGACAAAGGCCAGGUUCGACUGCCGAAGGUAAGUUCGGCCGCCGAAAGUGCCCAAUGUUCGGCCCCCGAAGGUUAUGUUCGGCCCCCGAAAGUUGCAUGGUUUUGCAUGCAGUUUCGGCAGCCGAAGCUGAGGUGGUCGGUUAGUUGUGCACGCUCCUCAGUCCGUGGUUUGGCCAGGUGUUCACCUCCAGAGCAUGACCAGAGGUUAGGCCACGUCUCCCUUGACUCAUCUGCAAGCUUUUAUCAGCUCGUGCAGAGGGUUGAGUAUGUUUCAAAGCGUUUUGAAGGGUUGGAGAGAAAAGAGAGGUUUUGGUGGUUUGAAGCUUGUGAAGGGGAUUUGCUGAGUUCAAGUUGUUCCUCUUCUAGUUUCAGGAGGUAAGAGAGUUGUUCCUCUUCUUGUUUUAUUGGUUUUAACAGUUUGUACAAAGGAUAAGGGUAGAGUUGCUGAUAUAGGUUCGUUUUAGUGUUGUCAUGGUUUAUACAUGAUUAGGUGUAGUUUUGAUGUUUUAAUGGUGUAAGCAUGUUAUGUGUAUNNNNNNNNNNNNNNNNNNNNNNNNNNNNNNNNNNNNNNNNNNNNNNNNNNNNNNNNNNNNNNNNNNNNNNNNNNNNNNNNNNNNNNNNNNNNNNNNNNNNNNNNNNNNNNNNNNNNNNNNNNNNNNNNNNNNNNNNNNNNNNNNNNNNNNNNNNNNAGGGACACAGAGAGUAUAGUCGGCUUGCUACGGGUCCCGGCGGCCUUAAGCCGAUCUGGAUCCUAGUGCCAGUGAUGGUUCAGACCGUUACUGAGGGGUACCGGUUUUCGGGUCGUUACAGUGUCGAAGAUGUUAAGUGCAUGCAAACAUUCCAAGGACCCCAAGAGAAAUGUAAGCAGCAAUUGGAAGCCCCUCGUCCUUCUUUCAGUGGAGGAUAGACAUCUUUGGCCCAUUCCUUAAGGGAUCUGAGUUAAGGAAGUUCAUAAUCAUGGCAAUAGAUCAUUUUAGCAAAUGGGUUGAGUUUGAGGCAGUGCAGUCCAUCACUACCCAACAAGCGAUCUCCUUCAUCAGCAAAAACAUCUUCACUUGAUUCAAAAUCCCAAAGCUAGUGGUCACUGAUAAUGAAAAUCAGUUUGUAAGUUUCAACUUUAAGGACUUCUGUAAGAAAUAGAAAAUUGACUUGAGAUUCAGCUCAGCUUAUCACCUCCAGACCAAUGGAAUGACCGAGGUGAUAAAUAGAACCAUCCUACAAGAGCUCAAGAAAAGGCUCGACCAAGACAAAGACAACUAGCCCGAGGAGUUACCUCACAUACUAUGGGUAUACAGGACCAACCCUAGGAUAGCUACAGGAGAAAUGUCCUUUUAUCUUGUAUAUUGGACUAAGGCAGUCGUCCCUAUGGAAAUCCAAGUAAGCAGCUUCGGGACACAACACCCUGAAAUUUCAGGAAAUCCUAAAGAAAUACCAUUCAAUUUGGACUAAGUUGAAUUCCUACGAGAAAAGGCCAUAAUCAAAAUGACGAUUUACAGAAAUAAAAUAUCUAGAUUAUUCAACAGUAAGGUUAGGCUGCAUGCUUUUAAUGUGGGGGACCUAGUCCUUAAAAGAACAGAUAUAACAAGUGGUAGUGCCGGGUUUGGUAAGUUGAAUGAGAACUAGAAAUGACCAUUUAGGGUCUCAAAGGUCAUUCGCCCAGGGUCCUAUAACCUAGCCAAAUUAGAUGGCCAAGUCAUUCCCCAUACUUGGAAUAUAUGUAAUUUGAGAAAAUUUUAUCAAUAACAAGUUAAUGAGGUAUUUUUUCACAUGUUGUGUUUUUCAGCAAUAAGAAACGAUAGGAUUGCCUUCCUCAAAAAGUUUAAAGAGACAAGAAGAGGCCAUAAGGUGAAUUCUGCUAAGCCAGGCCACAAGGUGGAUUUUGCUAGACCACUAUCUAAGUGUCGGUCCCACUCAACAAUGCCACAAGCCAGGUUUCACCAGAUUAGGUCAUAAGGCGGAUUUCGUCAAACCAUAAUCUAGGCAUUGGUUCCACUAAAUAAGUUAUUAGGCAGGUUAUGGGUUCCGCUAGACCACAAUCUGAGCAUUGGUCCCACUAAAUAAGGCCACAAUGCGAGUUCUGUUAAGUUAAGUCACAAGACGGGUUCCACCAGAUCACAAUUCAGGCGUUGGUCCCGCUAAUCAAGUUAUUUAUGCCAUGCCACAAGGAGGAUAUACCAAUCCCCAAAAAAUAAAUGUGCCAAUCAAAGAUUAAUGUCGAUGAGGUGAGUCUUGUGAGCGAGUCUCAAGACGAGUGGCCGAGUGAAAGUCCCUUAUGGAAAACUUUCCCCAAGGCAUUUUAUAAUUGGAAGGCGGGAGUUCGCUAGGCUACAUACCCAAGUAUUAAUCUUGUUUUGUAAAAGUUUAGACUUAAAGCAUCCGGGUCUUCUUUUCCCUCGGUGGAACUGAGUAUCAUCUUAUCAAACUCUUACCAUAUGGCCUUAUCUUUGAGUGCCAACACAUGGUCUGCUUUGGGCAAUUAUCAUACUACAUCAGAAGUCCCCCUACUGGUCUUUAAUUCUUUAGAUUUGAAGGUGACAAUUGUCUUCAUGUUCUGAGGCACGUAGCUUGUUCAGACUAGCCUUUCAUGUUCGCAUCGCUUUGUCCAAUAAUUGCUUUAUUUUCAUUUUUAAUACGAAAUCUUUCCUUCUAUACUCUUUGUCAUUAUUUUCGCAAAGUGUUCAUAUGCUCGAUACUCGAUUAUAACCCUCGUCCGCCCAUAGCUAAAUAAGAUUUUAAAUCUCUUUAAAAGUUUUGUUAAGGGGUUAACACCCGACCAAGCACCUGGCAGCAUCUGCUUUUUGCCAUAAAAUAAUUUUAAACUUUUCAAUGGGACUUAAUUACCCCUUAUGACUCGCCUAGUGGGUACCUUGUGGCUAUGGAAUAAAUAACUUAGAAAAAAUAACAAACUUAAUUUAACACUUGGUCAUGAUAACGACUUAAAGGAUUUUAUUAAUCGGGACUGAUACCCGGUCAUUAGCCUGAUGGAUACAUGCCUUGUGGUUCUUUUUUACGAAAACUUACCUUUGCCUUUUGGGACUAAAAUUCAAAGACUCGUCUGAUGGUUACCCGCCUUGUGGUGCUCUUUGACAGAAAUUUUGCGUUUGUCUUUUUUAGCUAACACUCGAAAACUUGCAUGAAAGUUAUCUGUCUUUUGGCCUGAGCAUAAAAUAUCUUAGAAACUUUUUAUGAAAUGAGACUAACAUCCAAUUGUAUGGCCUAGUAGAUACCCGUCUUGUGACCUUGGUAUGAAAUGCCAUAGAGACUUUUUUGCGAAACGGGACUAAUACCCAGUCAUGUGGCUUGGCAGAUGCCCACCUUGUGGCCUAGGCAUCAAAUACCUUAGAGACUUUUUUUUUUUUGUAAAAUAAGACUAAUACCCGGUCACGUGGCCCAGCAGAUACCCGCUUUGUGGCUUAGGCAUCAAAUACUUUAGAGACUUUUUUGCAAAACAAGACUAACACCUGGUCGUGUGGCCUGGCGGAUACCCGCCUUGUGGCCUAGGCAUCAAAUGCCUUAUUUAGUAGGACUAACACCCGGAUUAGGUGGCCUAGCGAAUACUUGCCUUAUGGCAUGGCAUAAACUGCCUUGUCUGGCGGGACUAAUACUCGGAUUAGGUGGCCUGGCGGAUACUCGCCUUUUGGCCUGACAUCAAAUUUCUUAUUUAACAGGACUAACACCCGAAUUAUGAUCUGGCAGAACCCGUCUUGUGGCCUGACAUAAGAUGCCUUGUUAAGCAAGACACCCAAAUUAGGUGGCCUGGCAAAUACCCGCCUUGUGGUAUGGCAUCAAAUGCCUUGUUUAGUGGUAUUAACACCAAGAUUAUGGCCUAGCAGAACCUGGCUUGUGGCCUGGCAUAUAAUACCUUAUUUAGCGGGACUAACAUCUGGAUUAUGGAUUGGGAGAACUCGCCUUGUGGCCUGGUAUAAAUUACCUUAUUUAGCGGGAAUAACACCCGGACUAGGUGGCCUAGCGGAUAUCCGUCUUGUAGUCUGAUAUACAAUGCCUUGUUUGACGGGACUAACAUCUGAAUUAUGGCCUGAUGAAACCCACCUUGUGGCCUAGUAUAAAAUACCUUGUUUAGCAAGACUGACACCCAGAUUAGGUGGCCUGACAAAUACUUACCUUGUGGCCUAAUAUAUAAUGCCUUGUUUAGCGGGACUAACACCUGGAUUAUAGCCUGGAAAAACCUGCCUUGUGGCCUUAGUUUUGCUUUUGACUCUUCCUCUUGUCCUCUCUCAACCUUUGAACUUUAUCAUCCAGCCUUCUAUACUUCUGGGCUUUAUCUAUUAGUUGUUGGUAAGUAGCGGCUGAGUUCUUGAUUAGAGAAUCCAUUAACUUAAUGUUGCACAUUUCUUUUUUCAACACUUCACAUGCUAUCUCAUGUUUUAAUCCUUCCACCUGUAUUGCUUCUGUAUUGAAACGUGAAAUAAAACUUCUUAAAAAAUCGCCUUCUCCUUGGCGGAUCUUCCGCAAGUGAGAGGAGAGCAUUUUAGGAGGUAUGCAAGUGAUAAAUCAAGAUUUAAAUAACAUAGCAAAUUGUAUAAAGUUCUGAAUUGAACCUGAGCUCAAAUGUUGGUACCAUUUAUGAGCCAAACUUGCGAAUUUGACGAAAACACUUGGCACAACACAACAUCGUUAGCAUCUUGAAGCUGCAUUGUCAUCCUAAAGAUCACCAGGUGACUUCUAGGAUAUGCUAUUCCAUUGUAUUUAUCUAAGCUUGGCAAUUUGAACUUGGAGGAAAAAAUAUUUACUAAGAUCUCUUCUAAUAGGGGUGAGGCAUCAUCCAACCCGUAAUCCUCCUCCUGCUCCUUCUAGUACCUUUGGACGGCCUGUAUCAGCUUCCAAUCGACGUCCUUUGGAGCAUCGUCUGAUGACUCCUCUUCCUUGAACUUGGCCUUCUCUUUAGACCGCAUUUGGAUUGUCUCUGUUUGAGUCAUUGGGGUAUCAACGGAGGCUUCUUCCCUUCCCCUGUGAGCCAUGAAUGAUGCCUCCUUCUGAGAUUUGUGUUGCUCAAGAGUAGCCUGCAACAUUUUAAUAUAUUGGAGUAUUUUUCUCAUUAUUCAAAUUGUUGAGAUCUGCUUCAUUGACCAUAAAGGAUGUAUUUUAUCCACUAUUAGGAGUAGAAGAAAUGAUAGUGUCCUCAUUGAUAGCAACCUUAGUAGCAGUUCAUGAAUUGCCAGCCAUUUCGAGAGAGAGAAAAGAGAGAAAGGAAAUAUAAGGCUGAUUCUAAUCUAAAUGAACAGAGAGAAUUCAAUAGGUUUCCUGAGAACGGAACCAAAUAAUGUGGCUGAAACGGAGUUGUGCUGCGAUUGGUCACCCUGCAAGAAAGAGAAUGUGAGGUGGUUGGCACUUACAGUAGCCACUCCAAUACUCAAGUCAGUCGAUGGAAGAAAAUGGUGAGUUUAAUGUAAUUGCUUAGAAUUCAAAAGUAGUUGUGUAAGAAUUAUGUACUUUUGUCUCUGUAAUAAUUAGUUUUUAUACUGUAAGAAAAUGAAGUUAAUUAUUUCAUCUCCUGAAAAUCCUAUUAGUACCGGCUAAUUGCUAGGAGAUCCCUUGAUUAUAGGCGUAAUGAGAUCUGCUGGAUUGCGCUCUCUAACAGUAACUUCCUGUGAACCUCGCUCCGUAGUAUUGACAAAGAGUUUAGACCUAAAGCGUCUAGAUCUUCUUUUUUCCUCAGUAGAGCCGAGCUGAUAAGACUCUUACCACGUAACUCUAUCUUUAAGUAACAGCACAUGAUCUGAUUUUGGCAAUUAUUGUGCCAAUUUAAUUUAUGACUAUAAUUUAUUUCUUAUUUAAUGGACUUAGCCAUGUUGUGUUUAUUAGAUUAUACAUUUUAUAUCAGUUAGCGUAGAUAUGACAUAUAAUUCAUUUUCAAAAUAGGAAGAAUAAAAAAGUAUAAAAAUAGAGUUAUUAGUUCUUAGAAAUAUAUUGUUCGAAAUUAUUAGUAAAUAAAAAAAUUAAAAAAUUAAACUGAAUUGAAAUAAUAAUUUUAAGUAUAUUUAUUUUUUUAAAAAAAAUAAAGUGUAAUUUUAAGUAUAUUUAUUUUUUAAAAAAAAUUUAAAGUAUAAUUAUUGAAAUCGAUAAAAUUUAUUUUUUUUUACAAUUAUUCCUUUUGAAUAAUAUUAAUAAAUUAAUUUAGAACAUUAAUUAAAUUUAACUGUUCAAUUUAAUGAUAAGAUAUAGAUAAAUUUAAAUGUAUAAUUUACAUGAAUAAUUCACAUGAAUAAUUCAGAAAAUUUUGUCAUUAUUUUAAAUUUGAAAUAUAAAUUUUAAAUUAAUAAAUUAUUUUAUUAAUAAAAUAAAAAUUCCAAGACUUGAAAAUAUUGAUUAUUAAAAACGUAAUAAAGAAAAAAAAAACUCAUUUCAAAGGAAAUAGCAAAUAUGAAAAUUAGGGUGGGUAUAUAAGAAUGAAAUAAUUUAUUUUGUUGCAUUAUGAUUAGUUUGAAACAUAGCGACUACAUUUAAAUAAAUUAGAAUUACAGCACUUUAUUUAGAAAUACACACAUUGUCUUUCCAUCCAUUAAUAAGUAAAUUAAUUUCUACCCAUUUUAAACUGUAAGUACCUCUCUACAUUAUCCACCCCACACAGCUCCUUCACAAUAGGCAUGGUGGCAGGGACCUUCAAGUGGAAUGUUGAAUAAGAACUCUGUAGGCAACCCCAUGAAUAGAGCUGCUUUCGUGCUUCUCUAAUGGCAGCUUUUGUAGCACAGUGAACUGAUGCUGCUAGGAGUAAUGGUGGCUCACCGGAGGCUACAUAAAAGCAUAUAUUAUUCAACAACUAAGGUUGUCUUUAGUAGGGCAUACGUUUAUAUACGCACACAUAUAUCCAGCUAUACGUUGCGUAAUAAUUGUAGACAAACUCAUAUAAGCAGAAAAAUGACAGUUUCAUGCAGAUGGCAUUCUGUGUUCAUAACAGGAAAAAAAAAAGAAAAAUUACUACUUAGUCCUUAUAGUAUGGAGAAACUCACUAAUUGGUCUUUCGGUUUUGAAAAAUGCAUUAAAAUAUCUCUGAUAUUUUAAAAAGUCUACUAGUUAGUCCUUUCAUUAGUUUUAGCCGUUAAAUAUUGCAAAAAAAAAAUCUAAAAUACCCCUGAUACAAGGGACUAAUUAGUAAACUUUUUAAAAAUUUAAGGAACUAAUUAAUAAAAUUUUUUAAAAUCAUAAAAACUAAAUAGUAAAAUACUUAAUGGCAAAAUUAACUAAAAAACUAACUAAUAGCCUUUUUUAAAAUGUUAAGAAUGUUUUAAUGCAUUUUUCAAAACCGAUAAACUAAUCGGUGAGCUUUUCCAUACUAUAGGGACUAAAUAGUAAUUUAAAAAAUAAUAAUUUUUUAAAAAAAUAAUGUUAUUUGAUUCUUCUCUCACAUAAUAGCAUAAGUUAGAUUAUAAAAUAAGAUAUAAAUUUAUUCUCGCUUAAUUAUAUUUGAUAAUUAUGAGAAAACAGAGAGAAAAAAAUCAUGCAAUUUCUAAUAAGCUUAUAACGUUAUGGUCAACAAAUAGUUAUCCAUCUUGCUUCAUUUCCUAUUAUUCAGAUUAGCAAUUUAAACUAUGAAAAUUUAUAUAAAUAUUAAAUAAUGGAUUAUGAAGAAAAAUUUUGAGCUUUGCAUGCAUUAAAAAUUUAUUAUAAGCUAACAAUAUACCUUUAGAAGAAAGAACACGUUUUGGGUUAUGUCCACUGUUAAGUAAUUGGACAUUGAACUGCUUUGGUAUUGUGUCAACUGUAGGGAUCUUAUAUGUCCAUGUGCCUUUUGCUUCUACUAAUCCAUCAGAGUUUGAUGUAUGUUCUUCAAGCAUGAAAAACCCAAUUCCUUGGACAAAAGCUCCUUCAAUCUGCAAACAUCAUAUUCUUUUUCUCAAUGUAAAAGAAAUUUGAACAUAUCUCUCCUUCUUGUGUUAAUUUAGUGAGCAUUGUUUCUAAGAAAUUGGUCAUAGGGUGAGCUAACCUGUCCUAAAUCUACAGCAGGGUUGAGACUUUUUCCACAAUCAUAUAAAAUAUCAGUUCUCAAAAUUGUUGUUUGCCCUGUCAGAAGGUCUACUUCCACCUGUCUCACAAAAGUACAGAAGAUGAUGUUCUUAGUUAGAUGACAAAAACACUUCUAACACUUCUAGAUUAUUCUUGCAUUUUCUUAGUAAAUAAAUGAAAAAAAAAAAAAUCAAAUACUUCUUUUAAGAUCAAAAGCCAAAUAGCAAAUGUGACAAGUAAGCCAAAUAGAAAUUACAUAAGCAAUUAUGCAAUACUUUCAAGUUGGUUACUCACUGCAGUACAAAAGAAAAAAGAAGAAGAAGAAGAAUAAAAACUUGCCUCACUCACAGCAGCACCAUAGUUUAAGUAGUUUGAUGAAGCAAAUUCAGGAGUGAAGAAGGAAUUUAUUGACAAAUUCACAGCUUCCAAAUGUGCCUGCAUUUUAUGUUUAGUACUGUAAAUGCAAUCCAAAGACCUUUCAUAACUAAACAAUAAUAUAUGAUGAAAAUGCAGAUAGCUACCUGUUUAAUAAGCAUCUCCCAGCUUAUUGAAUCCAUUUCCUUCGACAACCUUUCCUUUAAAGGUGUCAGUCUCUCAACCAGUACUUCACAACAAAGUCUGGCUGCUUCACAGCUUGACUCAGAUGAAGUGCUUCCACCAGUUAUCCCUCCUUGGAUUAAACUCAAAGUAUCAGCUUGUAUGACUCGUACUUUAUCCAAGAAGUCUUCUGUUCCUUCACAUUGGAUUGAACUGAGAGCAAAUGCAACCAUUUGUUUCACCUUUGUCCAGAGACCCUGACCCAACUCUAUUCCUCCAACUUCAACAACAAUAGACCCAUCACUUAGAAUGCUAACUUUUCCAGGAGUUGGCCUCACCAUCACAUCAUAUAUACAAGGUAUUCGAGAAACACCUCUUUUUUUCCACACGUUACACCUAUUAAACUCUUUUACAAUUUCAACUCUUUGGUUAAAGUUUGAAGAUAUGGCUAAUUGAUCCCAUAUUGAAAUUAAAGUAUAUUCUAGAGGAUCUCCUGCGCUAACAUCAUAAAAUAACUUAAGGCUAUCAUAUGUGUGAAAAUUUAUGGUCCUCACAGAAUCUGCAUCAAUGGAAAGAAAAGAUGCUACUUGUUCAAUUACAGCUUCUGCAAUAUAUGAUCCUUGCACUUCUCCAGGGCCUCGCAUUGCUGAUUUACUUGACAGGUUUGUUUUGCAUAACUUUAUAUCAAAAGAUAAAGCUCCCCAAUCAUACUUUUUAAGGGCACCCACAAUGGUUUUUGGCAUCAAUGGGCUAAAGUCUAGAGAAAUGCCUGCAUUUAUUAAUAUCUCAAGAUGCAAGGCAGUAAUUUUCCCAUUAGAUUUGAAUCCUACAUUAUAUGUUAUUUUCAUAGGAUGCCUUCCUCCUAUCAUUAUCAUAUCAGUCUUGCGGUUCACAUAUGUCCGAACAGGACGCUGUAGCUUGUGUGCUGCAAGUGCACAUGCUGUGGCAAUCUAAAACAUCAUAUCCAAUAGUUAGUAUAUGCAACAAAUUAAAUAUCAAAGAUCACUCAUUAAAUAAUGUAGAAAGAACACAUCAAUAAUAAUAAGAUGCAUCAUAAGAGCCCUAGACCUAGUUUUAUAUUUCUUAAUAGAAUUGAUUUAAACAUCCAUUUGCAGACCAUAUUGUUAAAUUUUUUCUUGCAUUAUUCCCUAAUGUGAUACAAUACAAUAAAGGGUAACUUUUUUUUCUUAAUGAAAACCAUAGUACAUCAUAAUAAGUGGUUCACAUGCGUACAUUAUGAUCAUGGUUACUGUUGAUGGCUUAGUACUGUGUUCUCUGGUGCUACAAAAUGACUGUUGGUGCUCAAUUGAUGCCUUUGCUAUGGAUUUUGAUUGUUAUGUGGUUAGCAUUUCUUUGGACUGUUGGUUGUCGCAUUGAGUAGCAUCUAUGGAUACUGGACAAUGAUUUUGUUGUGGUAUUUUGAUCAUGGUUAUUGCUGGUGUCCACUAUGUUUGAUAUGGUGCUGCAUAAUUUUUGCUGGUGCUCAGUGUACUGUUCUUUUUGCCUUUGCAUAAGGAUCGACUCUUGGUGCCUUUGUUUCGGAUUUGUUUGGUAAGUGGUGAUAUUAAAUGGACUGUUGGUUGCUGUGCUUGAUGUGGUUUUUGCGCUCUGGCUAUUAGACAAGGGGCUUAGAGUUUUAGCUAUUAAAUAUUUUACUGUUUAAUUCCUAUAGUUUUGAAAAAUUCAUUAAUUAGUUUUUUAAAUUUUUAAAAAAUUUAGUAAUUAUUCUUUCCAUAUCAAAUGCAUUUUAGACUUUUUUAUAAUAUUUAAUUGAAAAAAUUAACGGAAAGACUAAUUAGUGGAGUUUUUAAAAUAUCAAAGAUAUUUUAAUAUAUUUUUUAAAAUAGAAGAAUCAAUUAGUGACUUUUAUGUGUUAUAUAGGCUAAAUAGUUAAUUUUCCAAACUUAUUAUAAACCUUAAAGAUGGUUCAAAAAGGUGAUGCACUAAAUUCUACCUAAAUGAAAUAUUCAACAAUUAUCAAUAUGGGUAGUUCUCCUCCAUUCCACUAGGUAAAGGUUACAGGGCAGUCAAUUAACAAUAUUCUAUUAAAAAUAAAGAAAAAGAGAUUAAAGUCAUGUGUUUAGAGGAAGUCAGCAGAUGCAGUAACUAAACAUUUUGAAGUUUGAAAAAGUUGAAGAUUAAAAGAAAAAAAAAAUUACUCACGGGCGUGGAUCUCAUAGCCUUUCCACCAAAACCUCCUCCGACCCUUCUUGUAAGCACUCGCACAUUAUGUUCAGGAAUACCAAGACAUUUUGCAAUUGCGACCUGUGCAUGCUCAGGGCCUUGACUCGAACUAUAAACCAUCAUGCAGUUGUCUUCAUCAGGAACAGCGAGAGCAGUCUGAUUCUCCAUAUAGAAAUAAUAUUGGGACCCAAGUUUUAUCUGGACAACAUAAUCCAGAAAAAGUAGCCAGUUAGUAAGAAAUAAUAGAGAUAAUACCUAAAAGAAAUUAAUUAAGCAACUUUAGGGUUGUAGAUGUGCCUUUAAGAUGAGAGGAUUCUCCUUAGGUCUUAUUGAGUGUGAAAAAAAAAAAAAAUACCUCAGAAGAGAAAAUCUUAUGAUCAGCUUCAUCCAUUCCCUUAGAUAAAUCUCCUACUUGUUUGGGAUAGAGAGUAGGAGGUACCCCAAAAAGGCUAGACCUCUCCACAGCCUCUUCUUCAGUUAAAAUGGGAGGUUCUAGAUUUUCGACAUCAUAAUCUAUUACUGCAAGCAUUGCUGCUAUAUCUGCAUGUUUUUGUGUAUCUGCAAGCUAUUUAAGAAAAUCAUAUGGUAGACUAGAUUAGGCACAAUAGACACCAAAUUUGCAUAAUUCUCAUAUCAAAAAACACUACAACUAGCAUAAAAGUAGUGGAAGUUGCUAAACAUGACUGCUUGAGUAUGUUACCACAAGUGCAAGUGGCUGUCCUGCAUACUCGGUAAACUCUUCGGCAAAUAAUGGUUCAGGACCAAAAGCAAUUGUACCAAUGUUCUGCCCAUCUUUUGGAAUGUCUUUGAAAGAAAUAAGUGAAUGAACUCCAUCUGGGAGUGAUUUAGAAGUAAAUUCUAUACCCUUUACCCUAGCGAAUGGCUUUGUGCUGUAAAUAAAUGCUCCAUACAGACAAUUUUCAGGGGAAGGAAUAUCAUCCACGUAAAUAGCCUCACCUACACAAGUUGUUAAAUUACCAAGUUAAUAGCUUAUUGGUAUUAUGAAUCAACAAAACUAUUUCUAAUUUACAACAAGCCAAGACAAAAUGUUAGCUACAAAUACAAACUAUUGAGAUAAUUUAUGUUAGAACUAACCAGAAGCUUGAAGAGCAGAUCCAGAUUUGGUAAUUGGCUCACCAAUGGGAUGAUAGUCUUUGUUUAAUUGGAUCACCUGUUUGGAUGACGACAGCAUUGUUGGGAAUUUAAAAUGAUCUAGAUUGUCAUAUUUCUCCUUCGAGUUGACAUCCUCAGACGUUAAAUGACCAUUAUAGCCAUUCAGCAAGCUAUUAGGAUUGCUAUCUACUAACAGGCCAAGAAAAUCAAAAACAAAGCUAACUGCCAAACUUGACCUAUAUGCAGGUUCUGGAGUCCCAUCUUCAGGUACCACAGCAGCUUUGACCAAUUUAAUAGCUUCAUAAAGGACAGAAGUGCUUAACAAUUUUCCAGUUAAAAAUUCCUCAACUUUCCUUGCUUUAAUUGCAUGUUUGGUUCCAAAAGCACCAAAUGCAAACUGACAACUAUUCAACACAUAUCCACUGGAUGAUGAUCUUGAGGAAGAAACUUCAGCCAAGAAAGCAGCAUUCAGAUAAGGCAAAGCAUUUCCAAGGGGCCGUGGUGCUGCUCUAUAGGUUUCAAAUAAUAACUUGCUAUCUCUUUCAGGAUUAAUAGAUUCACAAUUUGGGAUUCUAAAACUUAUGAGUACACUUUUAGAAUCCAUGGGAGGCCUUUCCAAGAACUCCUCCAUGGAAAGCUUUUCAUGCACGGCGCCAUUUAUUAUAUGAACAAAUGAACCAGUAGCAAGAAGUAUUGUGGCAAUAUCUGAAGGAAAAUGUUUUCCUUGUGCCAUCACCAAAUUUCCACCAAUGCUACCUGUAUUUCUAAUAAAUUUGGAAGCAAUUUUCUCCAUAUGGUCUGCAAUUUUAUUGAACACCAUUUUACUUGUUGGGGUAAAUUCAUCUUUAUUUCCUUCCCUCAAAGCUUCAAUAGUUUUAGAAAUAGUCACAGCUGCCCCAAUUUCGAUCCCCGUAUGAUCCCUCCAAAUCGCUGAGAGUUCAGGAAUAUACCUGAGAUCAAUGUAUCUGUCAUAUUGUUCCAGUUCCUUAAAAUACCCCAUGCCAGUGUUACCAACCACCAGCUUUGUUCGGACUCCAUUGUUGGCAUCAGAGCACUUUAACAAGCUCUGAAGAUCCUUCAAGCUAGAUGGUUGGUGCCAAGAACUUCUAUUAGAAUCUAUAAUCAAGGAAGCUUUGAUUUCCUUUUUGAAAGCUGCAGGAAAAGCGCAGAUCUCAUUAUUAUGAUUGUACGAAGGUAACCUACUUAGAUUUAUUUCCUGCUUAUCUCCCUCCUUCCAAAAACAAUUAAAGCCCAAAUCCUCCAUAUCUACUUCAGCUGCAAAACUUUUGCUUGCAUCAACAAUGGGUCGAUAUCCUGUACAACGACAAAGAUUUCCAGCAAUAGCCUCUUCAGCUUCAAUUACUGUGAGCUUGGAAAAUCCUGGGGAGGGUUCAGGUCGAUCCGUUUUGUCAGCAUUGACAAGGGCCCCAAAAAGGGCCAUGCACAUUCCAGGAGUACAGAAGCCACAUUGAGAAGCAUGGAAUCCAGAGAACCUUUUGUGAAUUGAAUGGAAACCAACUCUGCUAUUACCCAAGCCUUCAGUUGUUGUUAUUGAACAUUGAUUUAUGCUACAAACUAGUGUGAGACAUGAACUUGCUGUAAAAUCCUCAACUUUGUCAAGCAAUGAAUCGUACUUGGAGAUCAGAACAGUACAAGCACCACAACCGCCUAAAAUCAUGAACUAGAAUUUAGAAUAUAUAUUAAAGACAAAGGCCAUUGUUCUUACUGAAUUAACUAUAUUUUUUUAUUUAUAUGAAAUUGGAUGCAAAGUGUUUUUUUUUAUAAAAGUGUAAAAAUAAUUUGUUAAUAGAUGUCAAUCCAUAAAAAAAUAAAAUCUAUUACUUUAAUUAUAUUAAUUAUUUAUAAUCUACACUAUAUAUAUAAAAGUGUAAAGAGAGAAUAUUAAGAUUUCUUUUAAUUAUAAUUUUAUUUUUUAAAAUUUUUAAUUUAAUUAUUUAAUUAUAUUAGUAUUCUAUUUAAAUUUAAAUUGAUUGAUGAAAUCUUUUAAUGUUUAAACUAUAGUUGAUUAAAUUUUAACAUAAAAAAUUAUCUUAAUAUUUAAAUUAUUUGUAUUGAAAUUUCAUCAUAAAGUUAAACUAUUUUUUAAAAAAAUAAUUAAAAUUUAUUAUUAUUAAAAAUUUUUUAAUUUAAUUAUAUUAUUAGUCUAUUUAAAUUUAAAUUAAUNNNNNNNNNNNNNNNNNNNNNNNNNNNNNNNNNNNNNNNNNNNNNNNNNNNNNNNNNNNNNNNNNNNNNNNNNNNNNNNNNNNNNNNNNNNNNNNNNNNNNNNNNNNNNNNNNNNNNNNNNNNNNNNNNNNNNNNNNNNNNNNNNNNNNNNNNNNNNNNNNNNNNNNNNNNNNNNNNNNNNNNNNNNNNNNNNNNNNNNNNNNNNNNNNNNNNNNNNNNNNNNNNNNNNNNNNNNNNNNNNNNNNNNNNNNNNNNNNNNNNNNNNNNNNNNNNNNNNNNNNNNNNNNNNNNNNNNNNNNNNNNNNNNNNNNNNNNNNNNNNNNNNNNNNNNNNNNNNNNNNNNNNNNNNNNNNNNNNNNNNNNNNNNNNNNNNNNNNNNNNNNNNNNNNNNNNNNNNNNNNNNNNNNNNNNNNNNNNNNNNNNNNNNNNNNNNNNNNNNNNNNNNNNNNNNNNNNNNNNNNNNNNNNNNNNNNNNNNNNNNNNNNNNNNNNNNNNNNNNNNNNNNNNNNNNNNNNNNNNNNNNNNNNNNNNNNNNNNNNNNNNNNNNNNNNNNNNNNNNNNNNNNNNNNNNNNNNNNNNNNNNNNNNNNNNNNNNNNNNNNNNNNNNNNNNNNNNNNNNNNNNNNNNNNNNNNNNNNNNNNNNNNNNNNNNNNNNNNNNNNNNNNNNNNNNNNNNNNNNNNNNNNNNNNNNNNNNNNNNNNNNNNNNNNNNNNNNNNNNNNNNNNNNNNNNNNNNNNNNNNNNNNNUUAUUAAACUACCCUUACAGUUGAAAAUAAAUAUUUUUAAAUAUCUAUUUAAGAGAUUUGUCUUCUUCAUAUAUUCUCAAUAAAAGCAUUUAUUUUCUAAAGGUAUUUAAAAUUUUGUCUUCAAGUUCUACAUUAGUAAAUUUUCUCUAAUAAUGUUGAUUAAGUGUGUUCACUUUGAUAAAAGUUUUAAGUCCCUGUUGAAACUCAGAUAAAAAUUUGAGAAGUGAUUUAAAUAUGUAAAGAUCUAUGAGUAUUAGAAAAAAUUUAUUUGUAUAAAAAAUUAUUCUCUUGUCUACGUAAAAGAGAUAGAGUGGAAUAAAGACUUAAAGGAAAAUCCUGGGAGAGCUGUAUUUGACGAACCUCAUCUCUUUGCCUCCGGUCCUCAAUAUUAAAUUAAUACUAAUGAGAAUGUGCUGAAAUUAACUUAUUAAUUUUAUUUCUACUUUAUAACAUGUUUAUUUAAUCAGUGUCAAUUGUGUUUAAUAAUUUUAUAAGCUUAAAUUUUUUAAUCAUUUAUUUUAAAUAAACACGUAUCUACAAUCAAAAUUAACGGUAACAAUUCAUUAAAACUUAAAAUAAAAAUUGAAAAAUUAAUGAAAGUGAUCAACGUCUCUUGCUCACAUAAUUUGCGACAAGAAGAUUGUUAAAAUAUCUUUAUAUAUGGUUUUGAUCAUUUAUAAACUUUUUUAAUUUUUAUUAAAAUCUUUAAUUUUAUUGGAUAAUUAUAUUAAUUUUCCAUUUAAAUUUAAACUGGUUGGAGAAUUAUUUUAAUAUUUAAAUUCUAUUUAACUAAAUUUUAUAAAAAGUAACUAACUAAAGUUUUAAAAAUUUACAUUUAAAACCAUAAAAAUACUAAUAUCUGUAGUGACUGAUAUUUGAAGUUGUCGUUAUGAUAAAGUCUAGCUCGCGGCUAAGACUUUUUUGCUAUAAUAAAUCCGUGGCUAAUAUUUUUUUGGUAACAAAUAUAUAUUUGAUAAAUUGAAUUGGCAUAAAUUUUAUUUUUAAUAUUAUGAUAAAUAAAUAGAACAAUAAUAAUAAUAAAAAUAUAAUAAGUAAAUUUAAAUGAAUUCAAAUUUUCUAAUAAUUUUAUAUUUUUAUGACUAUGUUAAUACAUAAAUUUAAAUUUUUUAAUUUAAAAUUUACUAUAUGACCUAUAAAUAGAAGUUUUAUAUUUAUAAUUUAAUUUAUUUUUUAAGUUUUGUGAAUUUUUGUACAUUUGUACUUAAAAAAACUAAUAAUGCAAAAUGUUGCACAUUAAAUACAUAACAACAAAAUAUAUGUUAAAUUUUUGUUAAUACAAAUAAGAAAAAAGUUUAAAUUGAAAAUUGAAAAAUAAUAUAUAUUUGAUCAACUUAAACAUUUCAAAUUUUAUUAUUUUCAGAUUAUUUUAAUGUAAUAUAUUUUUACUGAUAAUAAAUAAAACUUUAAUACCAUUAAAAUAAAAUUAUAUACAAAAUAAUUAUAAUAAAAAAUUAUAUAUACUGAAAAAUUGAUUAUAUAUAUUCCAAUUAUAUAUGAUUAUAUACAAAAUAAUAUAUCUCUCAAUGUUACUUCAUGAUAACCAUUGUAAAUUUUAACCAAGUAGAAAUAAAAUAAUUUGGUAUUAUUAUAAUAAAAAAUAAAUUUAAUUGGAUAUAAAGUUAUUAUAUUAUAAAUAUUAGUAUAUUAUAUAUAAUAAAUUAAUAGAAAAAAAUAUAUAAAGGUAAAUAAUUAAUAUAUAAAAUGAAUAUAUAUAUAGAGAGAGAGAGAUUAGUGUAUAUAAAGUUUAUCUUUAAUAAAUCCAUUGAUUUAAAAAAUAAAUUCGAUUGAUAAAAAAAUAACAAUUAAAAAAUAGGCAUAAAUAUGAUAUUUUUAUUAAAUUAUUUUCCAAAAUUUUAAAGUUUCUGAAAUUCAUAUAUAUAAUUUUAUAAACAUAUAUUAUGUGAAUUAAUUUAAAUAAUUCAAAUAUUUUUAUAAAUUCAUGUUGAUAUUUAAAAUUUUUAAUUUUAAAUAAUUAAAUUAAAAUUUUAAAAUUUAUUACAAUUUUACGGGUGUGCUCAAAUCAAUUUCGACUAAAAUAGUGAAUAUCACCUAUCAUUUCAUAUGAUAUUUUUAUUAUUUUUUAAUUAAUUAUAUUUAUAUUUUAUUGAAUAAAAUAAUCUAAAUAUUGUUAUAAAUUUAAAUUUAUUUUAAUAUUUUUAGUUUAUUAAAUAAAAUAAUUCAAAUUUUAUUACAAAUUCAUAUUUAUAUUUUAAUUUUUCAAUUUUAAAUAGUGCAAAUACAAUUAGGUUAUAUAUUUUUCCAAAGAUAUUGGAGAAGUCAAAUCGAUUAAUAGAUUUUUUUUACCGUUAAGAGAGAUAGAAUCUAAAACGAAAAAAAUAAAUUAAUGGAAGAGUAAAACCAAUUUAGAAUAAAAAAUAAUUAUUUAAUUAUUUAUCUUUUUAAUUAUAUUAUUUUUUAAAUUAAUUUUAUUUAUUAUCAUUCGUUUAGAUUUUAUUCUCUCGUUACAAUUAAAAUUGUGAAAAAAUUACGAAUCAAUUUAACUUUUUCACCGUUUUAUAAUUAUUAGUUAAAGAUGUGAUUCCUUUCAAAAUAUUAAAGAUUGAAAGAUCAGAAAAUAAACCAUGAAUUUAUGGAAAAAAAUUAUUUGUUGAAAUAAUAUAUCAUAAAAAAUUAUAUAUAAAGAAAAGAUAGAUAUGUAUGUAUCUGGCUGAUAAAGUAAUGAGAUGAGAAUUGAGAAAAGAAAAGUACCUUCACCACAACCAAGCUUUACACUCUUGAAAGAGGUCUGAGUUCUCAAGAACUCAAGCAAAGUCAUUGAAGGAUCCACAGUGGAUAGCUCGAACCUCUUUCCAUUAACUGCAAACACCAAACUCCUCUUCUCGCCAAUUCCAUUUUCCCCUUCCAUUUGGGUAUGUGUGUUUCUGGGAGUAUCCAUCCAAAACCAGAACCUGCCGAUCCUCUUCCCGACAUGAAUAUAUAAGCAUCCAAAACGACAGCUUGAAAAGAUUUUUAAUAUAUGAUUAAUGGGUUAAUCACAACUACAUCAUUGCAGUUGUAAUGCCGGCCUUUAAAAUUUAAAGAAAGAUUCUAAUUAAGCCAUCAAAAUAAAAUUUUCUAAUAUAUUUUCAACCGAUGACCUUAUUAUUGAUUAUUUUAAAUAGGCGUAUUGAGCUGGGAAGUUUUAUGAUUUGAUAGUAUAACGAAUGGCAACAAAGGUUGGACCGUGAGUUUAGAAUUGUUAAUAAAAAAUAGUUUUAUUCUCCUUUGACCUUUCAUCUGAUUUUAAUUUUUAAAAAAUUAACUAUUUAAUAUUUAAAUAUUAUCUUUAUUAAUAAAUUAAUCUUUUAAUUUUUAAAAUUUUAUUAAAAUAUUUUUUUUCUAUACCAACUAAAUAAUUCUUCCAUUUAAUUCUACUAUUAAAAAUAUAGUAAAAAAUUAAAUUAUUUCUCAUUUUCUUCAUUUUUUUAUUCUUCAUUUUCUUUUUUUUUUUUCUUUUUCUCAUCCUCUUAUCUCCUCUCUGUUUNNNNNNNNNNNNNNNNNNNNNNNNNNNNNNNNNNNNNNNNNNNNNNNNNNNNNNNNNNNNNNNNNNNNNNNNNNNNNNNNNNNNNNNNNNNNNNNNNNNNNNNNNNNNNNNNNNNNNNNNNNNNNNNNNNNNNNNNNNNNNNNNNNNNNNNNNNNNNNNNNNNNNNNNNNNNNNNNNNNNNNNNNNNNNNNNNNNNNNNNNNNNNNNNNNNNNNNNNNNNNNNNNNNNNNNNNNNNNNNNNNNNNNNNNNNNNNNNNNNNNNNNNNNNNNNNNNNNNNNNNNNNNNNNNNNNNNNNNNNNNNNNNNNNNNNNNNNNNNNNNNNNNNNNNNNNNNNNNNNNNNNNNNNNNNNNNNNNNNNNNNNNNNNNNNNNNNNNNNNNNNNNNNNNNNNNNNNNNNNNNNNNNNNNNNNNNNNNNNNNNNNNNNNNNNNNNNNNNNNNNNNNNNNNNNNNNNNNNNNNNNNNNNNNNNNNNNNNNNNNNNNNNNNNNNNNNNNNNNNNNNNNNNNNNNNNNNNNNNNNNNNNNNNNNNNNNNNNNNNNNNNNNNNNNNNNNNNNNNNNNNNNNNNNNNNNNNNNNNNNNNNNNNNNNNNNNNNNNNNNNNNNNNNNNNNNNNNNNNNNNNNNNNNNNNNNNNNNNNNNNNNNNNNNNNNNNNNNNNNNNNNNNNNNNNNNNNNNNNNNNNNNNNNNNNNNNNNNNNNNNNNNNNNNNNNNNNNNNNNNNNNNNNNNNNNNNNNNNNNNNNNNNNNNNNNNNNNNNNNNNNNNNNNNNNNNNNNNNNNNNNNNNNNNNNNNNNNNNNNNNNNNNNNNNNNNNNNNNNNNNNNNNNNNNNNNNNNNNNNNNNNNNNNNNNNNNNNNNNNNNNNNNNNNNNNNNNNNNNNNNNNNNNNNNNNNNNNNNNNNNNNNNNNNNNNNNNNNNNNNNNNNNNNNNNNNNNNNNNNNNNNNNNNNNNNNNNNNNNNNNNNNNNNNNNNNNNNNNNNNNNNNNNNNNNNNNNNNNNNNNNNNNNNNNNNNNNNNNNNNNNNNNNNNNNNNNNNNNNNNNNNNNNNNNNNNNNNNNNNNNNNNNNNNNNNNNNNNNNNNNNNNNNNNNNNNNNNNNNNNNNNNNNNNNNNNNNNNNNNNNNNNNNNNNNNNNNNNNNNNNNNNNNNNNNNNNNNNNNNNNNNNNNNNNNNNNNNNNNNNNNNNNNNNNNNNNNNNNNNNNNNNNNNNNNNNNNNNNNNNNNNNNNNNNNNNNNNNNNNNNNNNNNNNNNNNNNNNNNNNNNNNNNNNNNNNNNNNNNNNNNNNNNNNNNNNNNNNNNNNNNNNNNNNNNNNNNNNNNNNNNNNNNNNNNNNNNNNNNNNNNNNNNNNNNNNNNNNNNNNNNNNNNNNNNNNNNNNNNNNNNNNNNNNNNNNNNNNNNNNNNNNNNNNNNNNNNNNNNNNNNNNNNNNNNNNNNNNNNNNNNNNNNNAAAUUAAAAUUUAUUAUUAAAAAAAUAAUAUUUUAUUAAAUCAUGAUUUAUUUGAUGUUAAAGAUAAAGUUUAGAGCUUUUCGUUCAAAAAAAAAAAGAUAAAGUUUAGAGCUUUAUCUAGUAAAAAAAACACAUCGGUAUAUUUAAUUAUUAAUAAAAUUAAAAGAACUUAAUUAGAUUUAUUUUUUAAUUUAAUAAAUUAUUUUAAAAAUAAGACCGAUUGAAUUUAAAAAUCUAAGGGUUUACGUAUUUUUACUAUUAUUGCAUGACUUAAUUAUUCUAGUUAUCAUGUCCACGUGAACAUGACAAAUGACAUACUUCAGUUAUAAUUAAAAUUAAUUUAAGUGUUUAAUAUCAUUAUUAUUACAAUAAAAUUUGAAAAAUAGGCUCGUAAUCUGAAUUCAAAAAAUUAGACUAUAAUUACAAAAACACAUAAAAUUUUGAAAUUUUGUGCAACAGGUCAAGAAAUAAAAAUCAUAUAUGUUUGCUUUUUUUAUAUAAAAAAAAUUAAUAGAAAGUAGGAGAAUAUUAAAACUUUCUAAACUACCCCUACUAUAUUUUAUAUUUUAUUAAUUACAAUUUUAUUAUUAUUUAUAAUUUUUAAUUUAAUUAUUUAAUUAUAUUAAUAUUUUAUUUAAAUUCAAAUUGAUUGAAGAAUUAUCUUAAUAUUUAAAUUAUAGUUUCAAUAAAUUUUAUUAUAGAAAUUUUUUUAAUAUUUAAAUUAUUUGUAUUAAAAUUUUAUUAUAAGUUAGACUAUAUUUUUUAGAAAAAUAAUUACGAUUUAUUGUUAUUUAAAAUUUUUUAUUAAAUUUUAUUAUAAAAAAUAUUUUUUAACAUUUAAAUUCUAUUUAUUGAAAUUUUAUCGUAAGUUAAAUUAAUUUUUAAAAAAUAAUAAAUUAAAUAAAAAAUUUAUAUAAAAAUAUAAAAAUUUAGUAUCUUAUUUUGGGAAUAAAAAAUUUAUGAUAUACUAUAUUUAGAAAUAAAAUAAAAAUCUUAAUUUAAUUGAAUUAUUAUUAUUAAUAAAUUUAUAUAUAUUUUUAUUAUUUUUUAUUUUACAUAUAAUUUAUAAUGAGAGAAAAGCAAAUGAUAAGGUUGUUUAAAAUACUCAUAAUUACAUUUAUUAUAAAUUAUUUUUAUUUUGAUUGAUUAAAAAUAAUAAAUAAUAUACUAUUAUUUUGAAUUUUGAUUUAAUUAUUUUUUAUUUAAAUCUAAUUGUAAAAUAACAUUUAUGGAUUAUAAUUUUUGUAUUUACAUAAUUUUUGUAAUUUCUUAAUUAGAUUAGAUUAAUUAUAUCCGAAAACUGAGAUUAAUAUUAAUAUCCUUAUGCCGUCCGCAAAAUUCAGGUGUAGUUGUGGUACGGGUGUUUCUCUGGAUUGUGGUUUUCUUCAGUAUUAUCGAAGGCUAUAACUCUGGUAUUUUAAUUGAACCUUUGAUGUUUUGUUUGAAUGUACAAGACAAGAUAUUAUUACUAGAAGCUCUUUGUUUUUCACAUAUUACAAGCAAAGUCUUAGCUGUAGAUUUAUAAAUUAUUUUGUCUCUUCCUUAUUUUAAUUUUUUUCUCUUUUGUCUAAUAUUUAGCAAUAAAGUUAUUAUUAAUUUUUAAUAAUAAAAUGAAGGACAAAGCUGAUAAUACAAUAUUUUUUGUUUAUUUUUAUUUGAAUUGUGAUUUUAGAUGUUAUUGUAAAAAUAAUAUUGUUUACAUCAUAUCAUAAGUUUUUUAGUAUGGACCUGCAAAAUAAGAAAGAACACUGAGUAGAUUGUUUUGGUAACCUCCCUCUGAUGCUUUACUCAGUAUAUUUGAUGAGCAAAUUAUAGAAUUUAUUGAUAAAAGAGAAUAGUGUACUCAUUAUGGAGGUUGAGAGCUCUUUAUAUAGUGUGUAAGAUAGAGUGGAUAUCAUAUGGAAUUCUAAAUAAGAUAGGGGAGUCUAAAUAAGAUAGGAUAUAGAAUCCUAUUAGAUAAAGAUAAUAUUUGGAAAUAGAUUAAUGUUCUAUUGUGAUCAGGGCUCUAUCACCUUAUUCGGAGUUUUAAGAUAUUUAAAUAGUUGACGUAAUUUGGAUUAUUAAGAGUCAAAUUUAAUAUAUUUUAAUAUUGAGUUACAUCAGUAGUCUCUCCUACAAUGGUCAAAUCCUUGUGAGAAUUUGAUGACAAAUCAAUUUGGUGAUUGCUUUGACUUUUUUCUUGGCAAACUUAUCGCUUUGUGGGACUCAAGUAAUGAUUUGCUUUGAUUUUUUUUCGUAACGAAUUUGUCGCCUUGUAUUUUGAUCUUGGAGUUCAUAAUUCCUUUGCUACUUGUGUUUGUGAUAAUGAUGUUUUGUUGGUGCAUUUUAAUCCAGGUUAGAGGAUUAAAGGUAUCAUAACUUAAAUAUAAGUGUUCAAUAGAUGGAAUUGUAUGGUUAAAUAAAUGUUGUUUUGAUGGCUUGACAUUGAUGAGAUCUGGUAUAUGCUGUCAUCAUGAGAAGUUUGCAUAGGCAUCAGUUGCUAAUGAGGGCGUGCAGAUCAUCUAAGGAGGCAAUUGAUUUCCUAAAAGGACACUCUUACAUCACCUAGGGACGUUCUUAUGUUGCUUAUAUGAGUAAUUACAAUGCUCUUACGUCGCCUAGGGAUGCUCUUACGUCGCCUAGGGACGCUCUUACAUCGCCUAAAUAGGUAAUUGGUGACCUAAAAGGGCGCUCUUACCUUGUCUAGGGGUGCUCUUAUGUUGGCUAAGUGAGCAAUUGGUUGCCUAAAAGAGUACUCUUACGUCGCCAAAGGGUGCAAUAGGUUGCUUGAAUUUGGAGAAGAGCCUUUCGAUAUGUGGAGCGUACUAUCACUUUAGAGUUAUGCAUCUUUUAUAGGUGAUAUAACCUGUUAAAUCUCAUCUACAAAAUUAAUCCGUAUAGAAGAUGUAAAAAUAUAAAAAUUAAAUUUGCAUAAGAUAACCCAUAAUGAUAUGUGAUCCUAAAGUUAAUACAGAGUAAAAAAUAGAAAAAUAAAUACAAAAGUGAAAAGUAAUUAUUGCUUACCGCUGGUUGUUAAGCACAUAAUAUUACUUAGUUGAUAUGUCUAAAUAUCACCAUAUUGUAAUAAAAUAAUUUGUAGCUUUCCUUUCUCUCUCUCCUUUUUUCUACAAUAAAGAAUUCUUUCUAAGCCAUUAAUAUAAUGGUGGGUCUUGUAAAAUAAACUUAAUAAAUGUUGGCUAUAUCUUAGUAUAUAUUUGUAAUCAUAUUUGAUAUUUUCCAGAUUUCUAGUGUCUGGUUGUUUGUAUUUCUGUUAUACGUGUUGUAUAAAUACCUCACUCACAUGAAUGAUAAGAUCAUCUCCUUGAGCUUCGUUAUGGUAUCAGAGUCACAAAGUUUUAAUAACCAUGGCUUCAGAAUCAAGUUCUUCAACACAAUCAGCUCCUUCAGUCUUCUCCUCUAGUAUGAACUCUAAUAUUCCCAAUGUCUCUUCUUUUCUUUCUGUCAAAUUAACAUCUUCCAACUAUCUUCUCUGGAAAACACAAAUUACACCUCUUCUUUAUGGCUAUAAUCUAUUUCAUCAUGUUGAUCCAACUCAAAAAAGCCCAUCAACAGCAGAUCUAGAAUAUCAGAAGUGGUAUUUUGAGGACCAAAUUGUUCUCACCUGGAUUAAUUCCUCUCUUUAUGAAAGUUUGUUAUCACAAAUGGUUGGAGUUACUACAGCACAAGAGGCGUGGACUUGUCUUGAAAAGACCUAUGAUUCUGGAUCAUGCACUCAAAUCCACCAUAUCAAAUAUGCAAUUCACAAGUUCUAUAGAGGAACAGAUUCGAUUGAAAUUUAUUAUCAAAAAUCAAAGGGAUUGGCUUAUCAGUUGGCAGCCUUGAAAAGCCCUAUGACUGAAGAUGAUCUCAUUGGAGCAAUUCUAGAUGGAUUGGGUGAUGAUUAUAGACCUUUCACUCGAUCUCUUGAGGCACGACUUGAACCAACUUCUCUUACCCAUUUGUAUGGAUUAUUGUUAGCUGAAGAGCGAAAAAUUUUGCAUUCUAAUCAAGGGGUUCAAAUAUCAUCGACUGCACUACUUAUUUCCAAUUUGCAGUCCUUUCAAUCUUGCAACCAAAAUUCUAGUUCUCGUGGAGGUUAUGGCGGUCGCUCUAAUAACAGACAAUGCGAAGGACGAUCAACUUAUCAAAAUUAUGGCCAUUCAAACAAUCAUAAUUACAACGGAGGACGAUCGACUUCUCAGAAUUAUGGUCAUUCAUCCAAUUCAGAUUCUGCCUCCUUUGUUAUUAAUGUUGUCUGUCACAAUUGCAAUGGAAUGAGACAUCUUGCAAGAACUUGCCCUAGCCAACACUAUUCUCAAACUGCACCACAAGCUCACAAAGCAAAUGGUAACCUAUAGUCAUCAACUUCUCAGCCGUGGAUCAUGGAUUCUGGAGCGACCCAUCAUCUCACGGGCAACUUAGCAAAUCUGAAUCUCAUUUCCGAAUAUUCUGGCCCUGAUGAAGUCACUCUUAGUAAUGGUAAAAGCAUUCUUAUUUCUCAUGUUAGUUCCCCUAGUAUUAAUGAUUCUAGUCAAUCUUUUUUCUUAAAUCAAAUUCUGUUUAGUCUUAGUGCUUCUCAUUCUCUUAUGUCUGUAUUGAAAUUCACUAAUGAUAAUUAUGUUUCUGUUGAACUUUAUCUUGAUGUUUUCUUCAUGCUUAAUGAGAGCUUGCGUAAUACUUAAAAAUAAUAAAAUAUUUAUGCAAGUUAUUUAGCAAUGGCAAAUUCUGUCUCUGAUUUAGAGAUAUUGUCACAAAUUCUAUUGCAACAAUAGCGACUUGCACAAAAAGUUUGUAAUAGCAAACAUAGGAUUAAAUAUGUUGCAAAUCUAUUGUAUAAGCUUUUUGUGAUGAAAUAAAAUCCUUUACCAACGAUAAUUAUUUCCUCGUAGACGUUCAGAUUUUUAAUAAUGUGACUGAAAUAUAAAUUUUAUUGUAAUAAAUUUUGUGACAGAAUUAGUUUAUUUAGCGACGAAAAUAUUUCCAUCGUAGAAGCUCAAAUUUCAAAAAAAAAUUGCGAGGGAUAUAUAAAUUUCAUUAUAAUAGAUUUGGCGACAGAAUAUAACUCUUUAGUGACAGAAAUAUUUCUGUCACAGAAGCUCAAAUUUCUACUUGUUUGAUCACAAUCUUCUUUAAAUAAUAAAAAAGUAUGAGAUACAUAACUUUUAUAUUGAUUCCCAUAGACGGUGCCAAUAAUGUUGUUCACAUUAUAAUUCUUUGGGUAUGGACCUGCAAAAUAAAAGAGAAUACCGAGUGGGUGCUUUGGCAAUCUCUCUUAUACUUAAGUCAAUAUAUUUAAUGAGUUAAUUAUAAAAUUUAAUGAUAGAGAGAAUAAUAUAUCUCAUUAUGAAGGUUAUGAGCUCUUUAUAUAGUGCGUACGAUAGAGUUUGGAUAUGAUAUGAAAUCGUAGAUAAAAUAUAAUACAAAGUCCUAAAUAAGAUAGGAUAUGAAAUCCUAUCAAAUAAGAAUAAUAUUCUGAUAUGGAUAAUAUUCUAUUGUGAUUAGAAUUCUAUCACCUUAUUCGGAAUUAUAAGAUAUUUGAAUAGUUGACGUAAUUUAAGUUAUUAAGAUCCGUAUUUAAUAUAUUUUAAUAUUGAGCUACAUUAAUAAUAUUACAUCAAUAAAAAUAAUGUUUGUACUGUCUAUUUAUGAAUCCAUUUGAGUUCAGAAUGAAAUUUACACCGUUUGUAAUAUUCAUCUAUAAUCCCAUAAAAUUUUGUAAUUAUUAUUGUACAUUUUAUAAAAUAUUAUUUAAUUAUCAUAAGUAUGAGAUUAAUAUGAUAUUUUAAUAAUAGAUUUUGAAUAAAUUAAAUGUAACGACUCGAAAAUCGGACCGCUACCGGCGCUAGGAUCCAGGUCGGCUUAAGGCCGCCGGAACCCAUAGCAAGCCUGACAUAAAACCUGUAAACAUGAUUAAUCCCAUACAUGAUCAAGGAUAUACAUAAAAAUUAAAACUUUUCUUUCAUACAUUCUCUCAUACACCAAACUCAACCUGUGCAUGCACUGAACAUAGACAUAAUCAUAAGCAUUGACCCCUCUGUGGAAUCUCAACAAUGCCCCAAAGGGCGAUACAAUAUAUGUUGAGUUGGUUUACAUAAGCAUCAUAAAACAUCUAAGAUCAUGUAUUAAAGGGAUAACAACAUUCUAUGGUCAAGCACACCUCUAUCAUCCAUAAGCCUCAUUACAUUACAUGUCUAAACUGUACUUUUACAUAACAUCAAAUACAUUUAUCAUGUCCACACUAUCUAUUACAUAAACAAGACUUCAAUACUCUUGCCGACCUCCUGGUCUACCCUGUACCUGCAAACCUGUGGGAUUAGGGAGAGGGGUGAGCUACUAGAGCCCAGUGAGCAGAAUAAUAAAACUUUUAAAACAUAUAAUAACAUGGAAUGCAUCACAUCACAAUCAUAUCACAUCAAGGAUGAAUUUGUCACCAAUAGUCCUCUACAUAGUCCAACUGUGCCAGAACGUAGAAUGGGUCCUGGUCUUUCUCUUACAUAGUGCCAGCGAACGUAGAAUGGGUCCCACUGGUCUUACAUUUCGUACCGUACAUAUCACAUCGUCACAUCAUAGAUCGAGGGCUAUGGAUCAUCCAACAUUCAUCCACAACAACAACAGUAGAGUAUGCAAUGCAACAUAUUCGUGAGUUCUAAUGCAACAACCUAGUAUAUCUCAUGGCAUUAAUGAUGCGUGAAUCAUGCUAAAAUGUCCAUUUAUUUGCUUUAAAAACGUAAUGAGUUAUUCCACUCACCUCUGGAUAGCUCUGACCAGACACUGGAGCAGCUGACUCACUGCUGAGGUCCUCGGUUCCUCGGGUCCGAAUCUACACAGGUGGACUCAAAUGAGGGACCAAACAUACAUGAACAUAACUCUAAACUAUUCCCCAAAAACCCCUUAAAACAUCAUGAAACAAUCAUAGAAAAAAUGCAAAGGAAGGCUGGAUAGGGCACUUUCGGCGGCAGAUUUGGCGGCCGAAAGUCCCUCCAGAGCUGAAAGUCAGGCAGGUUCGGCGGCACCUUCGGCGGCCGAAACUCCUAGACAGAGACGAAACUCAUGCAUGUUCGGCGGCACUUUCGGCGGCCGAAACUGCCCUCCAGAGACGAAAGUCAUCUUUCGGGGGCAGGCUUCGGCAGCCGAAGGCUGCCUCCAUAAGCGGGUUCGGCGGCCGAAAGUCCCUUCGGCGGCCGAACCUGAGUUUCUCCAAAGUGGCAGAAACUCAGCUCCAACAUGCACAACGCCUCCCAAACUUUUCAAACAUGCAUAAACCUAUUCUACAACACUCCCAAUCAUACACAAACAAGCAUACAAGCUCCUAGGGGCUUCAAACCAUCAAAAACCCCAACUACAACACAUCAACAUACCCACAUUGUCCAAAAAUAUAUCAUGAACUCAUAAACCUAACCAUGAGCUAAACAUGCAUUCUACCCCAUAGAUCUACUUUAAACUUACUUAAAACAUGCCAUAAGCUCAAGAUCGACCCUUACCUCUUGAAGAUUGAGAGGAGAACGACCCUAGCUCGGAAAAUGGGAGAGAGAGAGUUCCUUGAACCUCCAAGCUCCAAAACUUGCUCAAAUGUUCAAAACCUUCAAAACAAGGUUGCAAACUCAUAAAAAUCAUGAAGAAUGGAAGGAAGAAACUCAAGAUUGGCGAGGGAUGGCGGAGAGCUCCCCUUGGCCGAAAAUGGGGAGAAAAAUUCGCUCGUUUUCGGCUAAGAGACCCCUUUAUAGGUGGCUGGCCAGGUCACGUUCGGGAGCCGAAAGUGUCUCCGCAUGCAUGCUAUGUUCGGCGGCCGAACCUGGUUUCCCUCACUUAUGCUUUCGGGGGCCUAAGGCACACCUGAAACGCAUGCAUGUUCGACGGCCGAACCUGAGUUUUCCUCCAAGGUUGUUUUCAUGCAAAAACUCAUUUUCUUUCAUGCUUAAAACAUAAAACACAUUAAAACAUUUUAUGGAAACAUAGUUUUACCCUUCUAGAGGUCUCCGACACCCGAGAUUCCAUCGGACGGUAGGAAUUCCAAUACCGGAGUCUAGCCGGGUAUUACAUUAAAUAUCACAAAUUUAGAAAAGUGUACUUGAUACAAAAUUAAUUCGAUUGAUUUUAUUUAUUUAUUAAAAGAAUUAUUUUAAAUUCAAUAAGAAAGAUUCUUGAACUUGAAUAAACUAGUUUCCUCUCUUAACCCUUCUAGAUUUUACACAACUUCUAUUGAUGGAGACUUUGUAAAUGAAAUGAUGCUAAUAUUUAUGAUACAUAGAAAAAAUGUGUGAAAACUUAAUGGCAAAGAAACAUUAAUUUAUGUAUAUCUCUUGACGUUAUUUGAUAUAUUCAUCAAGUAUUCAAAUGAAUGGAGAAAAAUAAAUUUUAAUUAAAAGUAAACAUCCUUUAUUUUAAUUAAAGUAAAUAUCCUUUAAUAUCAUACCACUUUAUUAAAUAAAAUUUUAGUUAAAUAAAAAAUUCUAAUUAUAGUUAAAUUCUUACAUCCUUCCACGUGACAUCAUUAUUAAAUGAUAUAAACUUUAGUACUAUAAAAAUUAGGCAUACACAGAAUAAAUAGAUUUUUUUUGUAUGUCCUUCAUAUAUAUCCUACUAUGAUAACUAUGCAGUUUAUGACAAUUAUAUAUUAUUUAAUCGCAUAGUUUUUUUAUAUAUCACAAUAUUAAUAACUUACCAUAAUAGGAUAAUAAAUCAUAAUGGAUAUAUAUAUGACACAUUAUUAUUUAUAAUAAUAUCUUGAAAGACUUUUAUUUUAAUCAUUCAAUAAUCAUGUGUACAAAAUUAUAAGGAAUUAGAAAAUUUAUAAAUGCAAGUUAUAAAUUAUAUCAUUUAGUUUCGAGUGUUUUUAGAGCUAAUAUAUCAUUUAUUAAUGCAACUAAGUUCCAUUACAAGAGUAUGCUCUCUAAAUGACUUGGGUUGUAAUCCUCGUCAAUGAAUCUACAAUCAUUAGAUCAAGUUUUAAUAUGCUCAAUAGAUAUUCUUUAUUUUUUAAAUUCCUUCCUAACAACAAAUUACUUUAAUUCCGUAUUUUUUUAUAUUUAGGAUAUUUAUUUUUUUGAGAAAAAUAUUACUGAGAAAUUAUCAUAAUAAAUUUUCAAUGACUUACUAAUAGUGUGGACUACCUCAAAUUCUGAGAUAAAAUUAUGAAUGAACUGUCAUUUCAAAAUAUAUCAUAAAUAAUGCUUCCAUAAUUAACAAUGUAGUGAUAGAUUGUUUGGCCUUUUUAUAAUACUACUCUUCUUGCUAAUAGGAACAAAUAACUAAAAGUAGAUUUUAUAUUGUCAAUACAUCCUACAAAAUCUAAAUAUGAGCAUCAAAUUACUUUCAAGUGAUCAGACCUCCUAUCCAUAAGAACUUACUCUUUAGUCUCUUGGAAGUAUCGUAAAAUUUUCUUUGAAAUUUUUCAGUGAAUAUACAUUAAUUAUUAUAAAACUUUCUUUAGAGCUUUUUUAUGACAUUUUCUAUGAUUCACUUUUAUCAAACAUUUUGACUUAAUCAUUUCAGGGUGUAUUUCAUCAUUGCAUUAUAUAACAUUAUUAGGACUUUCGACAACUACUGGAACUAUAUGCAGAAGGGAAGUGGAUAAAGGAAUAUUAGUAGAUACAAAAAGGUCAACUUUAGUUUUCUGCAGACCCACAUCCUAUCUUUCAACAUUUCCACUACACCAUUCUUAAGGAAUUUAGUAUUACAAGUUAAUAUAGGACUAUGAUUUGAAACAUAAAACCUAUAUUCCUUGAAUUUCUCUGGAUAACCAAUAAAGUACCUAUUGGUUAUUCAACCUUUCAUGUGGAUUAUAAAUUCUUACUUAUCCUGAAUAAUCCCAACAUGCAGGUGUCUUAAAUUAGAUUUUAUUUCAAACAUGACUUUUUUUAGGAUUGCCUUACGAGGAUCUAGUUUAACAGGUAUAUGAUGAUUUUAAGUGUGUACAUCUAUAAUGAUAUAGGCAAAGAAGAGUUAAUCGUUAUACUCCUAACCUUAUCUAUUAAUGUACAAUUUUUUCUUUCUAUUUGAUUAAUUUGUUGAUGUGUACCUAACAUAGUAUCCUGACAAUCGGUUGUCGAAGCCGGUCAAAAAUAACCUUCUUGGUUAUCAACAAUUUACAACUGCAGAUAGUGGAGAAGGAUCGAAUCCACAGAGAAUUGAUUACCUAUUUAUUUUUCUCAAUCAAGACCAAGAGAACUAAUUGAAAACACAAUUGAAAGCAAGUGAUCAAGCAUAAAUUAGCCACAUUUUUAUUAUCUUUAUUAUUGCUUAUUUGCACAAUUUUUAGCUUAAUUUAUGGUUUUUACUUUAUUUUUACAGAAAAGAAAGAAAUUGGAAAACUGAAGAAAAAGUGCAGAAAAUAACAGAAAAGUGAUUGGGUCAGUGAUUUGCCCAAAUCACUGCCCAAAUCAAGCAGAGACAGAAAGCUGAAAACUGGACUGAUUCACAGGAAGCGAUCGGGGUAGUGAUCUGCCCAAAUCACCGCCCCGAUCAUACUGACAGCAGGAAUUGACAGCAGAAGCGAGAAAAGAGCAGAAAAUCCAAAUUCAAAGAAAAGAAGUCCAAAUCCACUUCAAACACCACAAGAUCAGUCCCAAAAGCCACGCCAUUCACUUAGAAAGUUUCAUUCUCAAUCAAAAACAAAAUCCAAAGAGGAAUCAAAGACUAUAAAGAAGACCAAAUCAAAUUGAGAUUUCAAAACCCUAAUCAAAUUGGAAUUGGAAUUCUCCAGCUAUAUAAGGGCAGCAUCCAAACCAGCAAAGGGGCAUCUCAUCUUCAGCAAUUCUGCAGAAAAUACAGCAGCUUGUCUCCUUCUUUUCUUUCUUCUUUCUUUUGUGUAUUUUGUCCACCAUGAGUGACUAAUCUCAUUCUUUUCUAGUUGAAGUUGAGGAAAUUCAGAUUUGUGAUGAAUUGGGAGAUUUAAUACUCCAUUGUUAAACUCUUAUUGGCUUUCAAUAUUUAUGCAACUUGAUCUUUUCUAUGAUUGUUACUUUGCUUUUAGAAUCAAUAAGGGCCCAUUACUUUUAAAUUGUUUGAGUAAUAAAUUGUUUGAAUAACUUAAGUCCGUAAUUGCUUCUAUUAUUCGAACACAAAUAUAAUCAGUUGCAUAAUCUAGACUUGACCACACGGUUGACAAUGAUAGAAUUGGGUUUUUCUAAGUCUUAAUGCAGUCAACAGUUGUUCGAUGCUAAAUGCCCAAAGGACGUUCCUUGGCAACUAGUUGAUUAGUGUUUGAUUGGCGAACGUUUCCUAAUCAAACUAGAACUGUAACGACCCGGUAACCGGACCGCCACCGGCGCUAGGAUCCAGAUCGGCUUAAGGCCGCCGGGACCCGUAGCAAGCCAAACAUACCUCCUAUCACCUGGUCAAAUCCCAUACAUGAACAAAACUUUAACAUAAAAACUGAAACAUAUGAUGUAAAUACCGAGCCUGACCUGUAUGCGAUAUAACUGAAAACAUAAAGGAACCCCCUACUAGAGCCCUCAUCACAACUCUAGCUGGGUCAACAUAACAUACAUCAAACUGGUAUUACAUCCAAGAACUAGAACCUAACCUGUGCAUGCCUCAAAUCACAAACAUCAGACCUCCUCUAGGGUCCUUAUCCAUUACAUAACGUGGUAAACAACACAUGCCACAAGAUUAGUUCAACAUAACUCAACAUCUAGCAUAACAUACAUCAUGUAUUAAACAGGGACUAACCAAGUCUCAGGGCCAAGCAUAGUACUAAUCCAAUGAACAUAACUCUACUAUACUUUACAUUACAUUUCUCUUACAAAUCCAUAUAUCAAUUUCAAUACAUGUCCACAUUAAAAGUACUAAUCUAAUACUAUUACAAGCACACGUCACUUUAUCUUUACCCUGCUGACUUCUGAGCUCUGACUUAAACCUGCAACACUGGGGUUAGGGGGAAGGGGUGAGCUAAAAAGCCCAGUGAGUAGAAACAUAGAAAACAGUUCAUUAAUUUCAUGCUUUCAUGAAAUGCAUCAUAACACAGAGAAAUCACAUAAUCUUGUCCGCCUCGGGGCUUAUGCAGUAUUUAUUCCCCACGGACCCUGGUUUCUGAGAGUCUGUCUUUUUGCAUGCAUCUUUCCUCUCAGAGGAUGGACAUGACAUCAAAAAUCCCUCUGUCGGUGCCCGGCUCCCCCAUAGGAGCUCACAAAGGCCUGUAACAUACAUGACAUGGUGUCUGGUCCACAGAGAGCUCACAUGGNNNNNNNNNNNNNNNNNNNNNNNNNNNNNNNNNNNNNNNNNNNNNNNNNNNNNNNNNNNNNNNNNNNNNNNNNNNNNNNNNNNNNNNNNNNNNNNNNNNNNNCCUAAACUCAUGCAUGUUCGGCGGCCGAACUUGACUUUCGGCGGCCGAACCUUGGCUCGUUUAAACAAGACUUUUGGAGGCCAAAGGCGCUCCCGAAGCCUUCCCAUGUUCGGCGGCCGAACUUCACUUUCGGCGGCCGAACCUGGCAAUUGCCUCCUUGGUCUUUUUCCUUUCAAAACUAAAUUCAUUUUCAUUUAAAAUCAUGAAAUCAUGUGAAAACAUUUUAGAAAACACAUUUUACCCCUCUAGAAGCCUCUGGCAUCUUCAGAAUUCCAUAUUCCAACGGAGAUUCCGCCGGAAGGUAGGGAUUCGGAUGCCGGAAUCUAGCCGGGUAUUACAAGAACUAAGGAGGAAUUUGGUUGUGAGAAGCGUCUUCCACAACCAAAACUAAUUUAUUGAAAUAAAAUAAGAGUCUUAGAUAAUCAAUGAUCAAUUCUGAACAAACUGAAAUUGACUCAUACCUCAGCUAGAAUCUCUUUCCCAUUGAUAUUCUCACUUAUUUAAAUUAUUGCUUUCUCUUGCUUUCUAGAUUUAAUUCAUCAAAACAAAACCCCCUCUUUUAUUUAUUUGUCAUUUAUUUGCCUUAGUCAUAAUUAGGAAAAUCUUUGGUGUCAAUUCCCUGUGGUUCGACCCUAUUGCCACUAUCUGCAAGUUAAUUGUUGAUUGUUAAAUAGGUUUAUUUUUUACGGCUUCGACAACCGCUUAUCAGCAAGUAAUUGAAAGCUGAAUGAAAGUAAAGUGCAAUAAAAGUAAAAAGGGGGGUUUUGAGAUUGAUUUGUCUAAUAACUAUUGAAAGCAAUUAAAACAACAAUUAAUUAAAAUAAAAGAGGAAAUCAAUAUGAGAAAAGUCUAGUUGAAGAUAUGGAUCCACUUUGGUUGUUUGGGUUGAUCAUUGAAACUUAGGUUUUCUUGAUUGAUUCAAUAGAUUAGUUAUGGGGGUGGAAAACGCUUCUCACCACCAUGUCUCUCCUUAUGAUCAAAUCAAUUAGGGAACGUCCUCUAAUAAAUUACUAAUUAACAAAUUGCCAAGAAACGUCCUUGGGCCUUAGGCAUCAAAACAAUUGUCAAUUGCAUAAAGAAUGAGAGAGAUCCAACCCUAGCUACUCAAACGCAUGAGAUGUUGCUAGAUCAUGCAAUCCCUUAGUUUUUACACCAAGUGUUCUUAGGUCAGAAUAUUUCCAGGAAUUAUGGACUAACAAAUAUUCCAACUAACAAUCAAUUAACUUUGAAUCAAGAAUCAAGUGGCCAAUUUGAUCAAAACAACAAAGCAAUCUUAGAAUUAAGCACAAUUGCAUGAAUAUUGAAUAAACCAAAAGCAACCACUUUAUGUUCAGAUCUCACAAUCCUUUAAACAACCUUAGUUUCAACCAAACUUCAAUUAGAAUUAGGGUUUCAGCCACUCAUGGCUGAACCAAAACAGAAAAUAAAAGAAAAGAAAGCAAGAAGAUGAAGAACCAAAGGGUAGAAGCCUUGGAGAGCCUUGGAGAGCCUUGGAGGAAUUGUGUGUAUGAAAAUCUGCCUCUUCUUGUCUUCUUGAGGCCUUUAAAUAGGUGUUGAGAGGUUGUCUAGGGUUUCUUGGGUGUCCAUGCAUCUUUUAAGGAUUGCCUAAAGUGCCCUUGUAUCUUUUAUGUGCAUGUGUGGAGUUGCAAGCCCUUUUUGGUCUUUUAAUUGCUGUCCAAGUGUGUCCAAGAAGCCUUCUUCACAUUAUUCAUGCACUAAAGAGGAAGGUGGAGCCUUGAUUUGAAUUUUGAAUGUGCAUGGCAUAAAGUGGGAAACAUGUGAUCUUCAAGAUUUGGCUUAUUGAACAAGGAGGAGGCUGUUCGGAGGGACUUUCGGCCGCCUAAGUCUAGUUUCGGGGGCUGGACUUUCGGCUCUGGAGUGAAGGUUCGGCGGCCGAAGGUGCUGCCGGAGAUGGGUGACUUUCGGUUCUAGACCAGACUUUCGGCCGCCGAAAGUGCUUCCGAAGGUGACUGAAUUUUGGCUUCCGAAGGUGCUUCCGAAGGAGGUUGAGUUUCGGCUUUGGACUUGACUUUCGGCUUCCGAAAGUGCUUCCAAAGGUGGCUUUUCCAGAUUUGGCACUUUUUGGUAUUUUUAAGAGCAUUUUCUCCAAAUUGUCUCUUCACACCUAAUAUUUGCAAAACAUUAUUAAAACCACAAAAUUAGGUAGAAUUGGUGUGAAUAAACAUCAAUAAGAUCAUGAUAAUAUGGACUAAAAUAUGCUCUAUCAUAUCCUGUAUAUAUGUACCAUAACUUUCUAAGGUUUUAGAAGAUGUACUAGAAUAUUAUCCUAAUUCAAUAAGUUUCUCAUAAUAUUUGUCCUUCCUAUAUGAUCUUACUAUUUUUACAUUUCUAUUUAAUUGUCACUUCAAAUGCAUUUACUAAUGGAAACUCAUUAAACAAAUAAAUAUGUAACAUUUUCUAACGGUCCAUGAAUGAAUUGGACAAAUGAUGUCACAAGAUAUAUUAUAACUCGUACAAACCAUUCAAUCAUUAAUUAGUUAUUAUAAAAAUCUUGCACAUGAAAAAGUAUCCAUAUUUACAGACAAUAAAAAAUAUUAAUGUGAAAAGAAUCCUUUAAUUAUAAUAAUUUAACUUAUCCUCUUAAUACUCCUCGUUAUAAUGAUAUACAUCAAACUUUUACUAUUUAUAUUUUAAUGGAAAUACUACAAAGAGUUUCCAUGUGUUUUUAACAUUUUUCAACCUAUAAACAAAUUGUAAAAGUACUUCGAUAAUGUCAUUUAUAACCUCUAAACUUCUUCCAAUUAAAAUUUAAUUUAAACUUAAGCACCUCAAUAUUCUUUCAACAUUCGUUCAUAAAAUCAUUCAACAAUUUGAGUAUUCAUGAAUAACUCAUAUCAAUAAAGCUUAAUUCAUAACAUUUCAGAAUAAUUUCCAACACACAUGUGUUCUUAGAAUAACAUAUACAUCUCAUGAAUAACCCAGUCUACAUGCCAACAAUAACUGCAAAAAUGAUAUAUUCUCUUAAAACAAUAGUUCAUCUAUCUAACGCAAUAUUGAGUACUACCUACAAGUGAGUUAACUUGUUAAACAUAAAGCCUAGUAUUGCUAAAAAUAUUGAGUACUUAUACAAGUAAAGACAAUAUAAAUAAGAAAUAAAAACAACCAUGAUAUUUAAUUAAACUAUUGAUUAAGAAUAAUAGUGGCAGCGAGUAAAGUUAAGGUAAGUCUAUGAAGUUCAUUUUAAUGAUUCUAACUCCUAAUGAUUUUAUUGGAAAUAAUAAGGGGAUAAAAGAUUUUGUUUUACAAUAUUUCCGUAUUCAAGCAACUGUACAAUUUGUGUAAAUAUAGAUUUCUUUUACAUUGUUAGUUAGUAAGGGAUAUCAAAACAGUAAGGGUGCUUUUUAUCUAUAUAACCAAUUAUCAAAACAGUAGGGUUGAAGGACAAACUAUAACGAUAGUAAUAAUUUUCACAAGCCAAACCUAUGAUACCUUUUAUAACCAACAUUCUUCAUAUCAUAUGAUCAAUUAUCGCACCCUUAUGUAAUCUAAGAUUCUUACUCGAUUAUGUUCACCUUAAGACGCCACCACCUCUUUUUUUUUUCUCUCACAUUUUUUUAGUUGCAAAAUUAUAAUUUAGUCUUAAUUUUUUCAGACUUUCAAGUUAAUCAUUUAAUUAACUUCUCAAAAUUUUUAUUUAUACCUACAACUUCAAUAGCUUUAUUUUUAUACCUGAUAUUAAUUUUUCAUAAAUCAGUUCUCUAUCUCCCAAGAAUUUAAUUUUAGUCUUUUAAUUUUAAAUUUUUUAAACUUUUAUUUUCCAUUCUUAACUUUUAAAUCUUCAUUUUAAAGUCUAACUUCAAUUUAGACUCUACCUUUAUAUUUCCCUAAAUACAUAUAUAAAAAUGACCCCAAAUAUAUUUCUCCAAAAGUUAGGGUGUUACAUGAAUGGCUAUGAUUGAUCUUAGCUUUUAAAUCCAUCAAAGGGAAUCAAUUUCAUCUUUUAAAUAUUUUUUAUACUUAUUUUUAUCUAUUAAUCUUCUUCAAUUAAUCAAUUGAGUCCUUUCAACUUUUUUUUAAUAUAUUGACUUACUUAAUGAUGUUGUUGAAAUUAGAUUGAUGGCGUGGCCAGAAUGGAGCUGCACAAUGAUUGGUUAGAACCUGCAAGGAAGAGAAUGUGAGGUGGUGGUGGAUGCCUACAACAGCUACUCCAACACUCAAAUUAGUACUUUGAAGAGUAGAGAGAAUCUGACGAAUUGCUUAGAGUUUUUGUGUAAGAGAAUAGUGUACGUUUGUCUCUGUAAUGCUUCUCUUUUAUAUUGUAAGAAGGUGAAAAUAAAUAUAGUAUUUUCAAAUAGUCCGACGAUAGUGUGGUCGACUGCUUGAUAAGAGAUGUCACCAACUAAUAGAUUGAUGAUCUCGUGAUUACAGGCGUAAUGGGAAUACGCUAAGUUGUCCCUACUAAUGGCAACUUCAUGCUGAGACUCUUCCUGCUGAGGGAAGGGCAAUUCUUGAUGUGGAUCCAGGUGUUUUGGUCACUCUUCCUCAGCUUAGUCCACAUUUCUUACUCAUUAGAUUCUUUCUAUAUGUGUCUAUCUUACAGUGAUAGUUCAUGGUUUAUUUUGGACAAUUGUUAUGUAGUAUCACUUAACUUUCAUCUUUUAAUUGUAAAAGUUUAUGUCAUGUAAACUAAUAUGUCGAAAUUCGGCAAACACCUCAAGCAGAUAUGUUGGGAUGUUUUGAAGGUAUUAACUUUCAUUCAUUUGAAGUUCCUAUGAAUUACUAUUAAUUCUUGAAGUUUUGCGGAUGUUGCAAUUGUGACUUUUAUUUAUUCGGCCAACCUUAUUAUUUUUCUAACAUAGACUCAUGUGAAAAUUAACUUAAAUAAAAAUGUUUGGAUUAAUUAGAAGAAAAAAAAAUAAAUUUACCUUAAAGUUCACUAAAAAAACUUUAUUGAUAUAAAAAAUAAAUUAAAACCUCCAGCCCAUUGAAUUUUUCUCUUGAAAAAAAGAAAGGAAAAGAAAAGGUAAAAAGUAGAUGUGUAAAGGUAAAGCUAAAGGUGAGGUCGGCCAACGCCCCACCAUAAGCUAGCGAGUAUAAAUUUUUCAUGGAGCAAACGAUAUCCAGAAUAAAAUCUUGGAAGGUAGUGGAAAGAAAUUAAAUAAAAAAGGCUCCACCGUUGUCAACUUGGGCUAACCACCAAUCCCUUAUUCCCCCUCACGGGUUAAUUUAAUCUGGGAUUCUUCUUUUGCUUUGUGGGCAUUUCUUUAUGGGGUUGCAGAGAAGUGAAGCUGUCUCUUCUGAUACAAAGAAUUUUGGCUUUGCAUGAUCAAUAAAGAAACAAAUGAUGAUCUAAUGAAUUCUCAUCAAACCAAAGAAACAGUUUACCUGCGAAAAGGAAUAAGUCAUUGUGAAGAAAACAAUUUCCAAACUAGCUCUGAAAAGAAUAAGAAUAUCCAAAGCAAUACAUAAAGCCAGAACCCAAGGCAGAGAAAUUAAACUAUAUCCAUAAAUUCUUUCUCUUGAUCAGUUGUGUAUAAAAGCCCAUCAAGUUCUGUGAGUCUUAACACAUAAUUUCAGAAGAAAAUCAGGGUAAAAAUUUAUUAAAAUGGAUUCAAGGCGACGAGGGACUACUGCAGCUGAACGUGUAUAUGAAGAUUUUGAGCCUUCAAUAGAUUGGGUACGAGAGCCUGGAGCUGACACGCUCAGGGUCUAUCUACCAGGUAUCUCUUUCUCUUAUUAAUUUAAUUUCAAUAACAAUUUUCAAUAUUUAUUUAUUUUUUUAAUAAUAUUUCACUAUCAAUGUAUUUCUGGUCUUAAUAUAGGGUUCAAAAAGGAGCAAAUGAAAGUACAAAUAACCUUAUCUCGAAAGCUAAGGCUCAGUGGAGAACGUCCCCUCGGUGAAGGCAACAAAUGGAGUCGUUUCCACAAAGAAAUUCCCAUUGAUUCAAAUUAUGAUCCUAAUGAAAUCGGUGCUAAGUUUGAAAAAGGAAUACUUCUUAUAAGACACCCUAAAAUAAUUGUUCCUUACAAUGAGCCACAGGAGAUGAUAAAACCAUCCACUGAAGCCCCAAAGCCUCCAAAGCCACCGCAUGACGAUCCACAGCCACCAGCAGACACUCCAAAGCUAAAAACUCAGCUCUCUGAUGUGCUGAAGCCUAGAGCGAUGAAAACAGAACCCUUUAUGCCUGAAAAACGUGAACCUCAGGCUGCAGAUACUUCAAAAAGAGGUUCGCUUCAGAUAAAGGAGAAACAGAAGGAAACGAGCGAAGAAGAUCAGAAGAGAAAUGGAUGGACUGAUGCAGCUGAAAAGGGUACCACCACAGCCAACAGAGGCACAAAAGAAGCAAAAGUUGCUGAUUUUGUUCAGGAUAAGACAGAUAUGAAUGGAGUUGGAACAGGAAUUAUACGGGGAAGUUAUUAUCACUUUGCAACAGAAAAUUUCAAGCAGGUUUUUGGAGAUAUGGUAAUGGAGGUGAAGAAGCCAAGAAAUUUGAAGAAUGGGGUUCUGGUUUUUUUAAUUGCGGUGCUUGGAUUGUAUGCAUUUAGGUAUCUUAAGAAAAUAUAACAACCAACUCAUCUAUAAUCUCCUUGUGUAUAAACUAAUUUAAUGAAAUUUCAUUUUAUUUGUAUUUUAAUAAUGUAGUACUUACCGCAAAAGCUCGUUGUAGUUACAUGUUUAACUUGGUUAUUUUGAAGAAUAUAAUUUGUCUCUGAAUUGAAAAAAAAAAGAUGUGUAUGUUUUACAAAAUGAAAAAAAAAAAAUACCCAGACCUAAUUUAUAUAGAUUUAAGCGUAAAAUGAUCAUCGACCUGAAAAUUAAUACUCUAUAUAUAAUUUAUACCUUAAAAACUUGUAUAAAUUCCAUGUAAAUUAAACAAAAAUUGGCAAAAAAUAUAUAUAUAUAUAUUGUAGGAGUACACAGCGUAUACAUGAUUUUUUAAGGCCUAAAUCGAACCAAAGUUCCGUGCAAUCUAUUAAGAAUUAAGCGAAAUUUAGUUUAUGAUUCUUGUUGAAUUUUAGUUUUUAACUAAAAAUAGAAUCGAAAUCGUACUAUACCCAUAUUAUAUCAAAAUUGAAUCAAGAAUUAAUUUUAUAUAUAUAUAUAUAUAUAUAUAUAUANNNNNNNNNNNNNNNNNNNNNNNNNNNNNNNNNNNNNNNNNNNNNNNNNNNNNNNNNNNNNNNNNNNNNNNNNNNNNNNNNNNNNNNNNNNNNNNNNNNNNNNNNNNNNNNNNNNNNNNNNNNNNNNNNNNNNNNNNNNNNNNNNNNNNNNNNNNNNNNNNNNNNNNNNNNNNNNNNNNNNNNNNNAUAUAUAUAUAUAUAUAUAUAUAUAUAUAAUAUUUUAAGUAUAUUAUUAAUAUUACAUAACAAUCGCCUAAAAUAAGUCAUGAGUUAUCACCACCAAAUAGAACCAUGUGGUAAGAGUUGGACAAAGCGGGUGUGCGGUCCUGCACAAGGAUAAAAAAACUCGAACACUGUUACAAUCUAUUUUUUAUCAAGACUCGUUCUCCUCCGAAGAGGUCGAGUCUUCACAUGAAACUACUGUUAGCAAGCACAAUUUAGUAGACUCUCGUUACAUCUGUAAUCACAAGAUCACCGACCAAUUAAAUCGGCGAGAUCCCUUAUCGAAGAGCCGGCCACAUCAUUAUCGGAUUAUAAGAAAAUACUAUAUUUAACUCGUCAUCUUACAGUAUAAAAGUCAAUGAUCACAGAGAUAAAAGCACAUAUUUCUUACACAACUAUGUUUGAGUCCUAAAAAAUUCCUUACACUCACCCUAUUCUCUAGUUUACUAACUUGAGCGUCGGAGUGGCUGCCGUAAACGCCAAUUACCUCACUUUCUCUUUUUUUGCAAGUUUAACCAAUCAUAGUAUAACUCUAUUUUUCAGUUACAUCAUUUGAUUUAAUUGCCGAGAAAUCCAUUGAAUCAUUUCUAUUCAUUUGGAUUAAAACCAGUCUCUUAAUCCUUUUCUCUGAGAAAGAAAUCUCUCCCGUCUUUUUUUUGUAAUGGCUAGAACUUUUCGAACUACUGCUAAGGUUGCUAGGUGAGGUUAAUGCUUCUAAGCUGGUCCUUGAGAAUCGGGCAAAGACUGCCAAUGAUCAGGCGGCCCUACUAUAUCACCAAGUCCUGGAACUACAGACUCAAGCUAAGGAGGCCCAAGCCACCUCUACCAAGGUUGUUGAGUUUGAGGUAGAACUCAGGAGACGGUCGUCUAGGGUGGGAAGAUGUUCGUAUAAAGCCAAGACUUGGUCAAGAAGGAACUGGUGAAACGGUUUCCCUCUGAAGACUUUAACUAGAUAGACGAUAUCUUCCCAGAUAAGGAGGGAGGUGAGACUGAUGAGGGGGAGGGACAAGCUGAGAACAAUCCCAAUAAUCGAAUUUCUACUGAUAAUAUAAUAAAUAUAGAGAAUACCGAUGUAAUUGUAAUAAAGACUCAAGAGAAGAAACCUAGAGAUAUCCCCCUCUUAUGUAAUCUUUUAUGACCUUAAUGAAAAUAUUUUCUCAUAUCUUAUUAUUCUUUUCAUUGAGCGUUUACAUGCCAUGUCCUCAUUCACAACCCUCAUCUAACCAUCGUCAAAACAAGACUUAGAUAAUUUUAAAAAAUUGCUAAGGGGUCAACCCCAAUAAAAGAACCUAGUAAUCAUUACCUUUGUAAAAGAAAAAAAAAUCAAGGUCAUUAACAGGACAUGACACCUGACCACCGACCUAACUAGCAGCCUCCUUUUAGCUACAGUAAGACGGGACCAACACUCGGUCAUUGGGUCUGGCAAAUACCCGCCCUGUAGCCUUGGCAUAAAAUGCCUUAAAGAAUUUAUAUAAAAGUGAAGCUAACAUUCAAUAAUUGAGCCUAGCGAAAUCUGCCUCAUGGCUUAGUGCGAAUGCCUUAGUUAGUGGGACCAACGGUUAAUUCUUUGAUCUGGCUUACACUCGCCUUGUAGCCUAACCUGACGAAACCCGCCUUAUGGCCUUAAUUAGUAGGACCAAUGUCCGGAUUAUGGUCUGACGGAAUCUGUCUUGCAACCUGCCUUGGCAGAACCCGCCUUAAGGGCUUGAUUAGUGGGACCAAUGCCCGGAUUGUGGUCUUGUGGAACCCACUUUGUGACCUGUCCUGGCAAAACCCGCCUUGUGGCCUUGAUUAAUGGGACCAACGCCCAGAUUGUGGUUUGGCGGAAUCCACCUUAUGAUUUGACCUCGCAGAACCCAUCUUAUAGCCUUAAUUAGUGAAACCAAUACUCGAAUUGUGAUCUGGCGAAACUCGGCUUUUGAUCUGACUUAAUGGAACUCGCCUUGUGGCCUUGAUUAGUGGGACCAACGCCCGAAUUAUGGUCUAGCGGAACUUACCUUAUGGCCUGACCCGAAAGAACUCGCAUUGUGACAUCUUCUUAUCUCAAACUUUUUCGAAAAGACAAUCUCAUCGUUCCUUAACACUGAAAAAAACAUAUGAAAAAAUACCUCGUUAACUUAUUAUUAAUAAAAUUUUAUCAGAUUAGAGGUAUUCCAGGAAUGAAAAAUGACUUGACUAUCUAAUUUAGCCAGCUUAUAAAAUUCUGGGCGGAUGACCUGUGAGACCCUAAAUGGUACUUUUCAGUUCUCGUCUAACUUACUAAACUCGAUACUGCCAUUUGUUAAAUUAAAACUGAUUGACUUGUCUAAUUUCAAAUUUGACCAAUCCAACUUCAAUUCGAUUCAUGAUUCAAACCUGUCCAUGACUAAAUCUAUGCCUCGAGUUACAAUCGUUUAGUUUUUUUCUCUGUUGUUUUGGAUUUGCUCCUUCUUUAUAUUAAAAAUAAUAUUUUAUUUUAUUAAGUUCAACAGUCUCAUUAAAAAUAUUAAAACAAAUUGAUAAGUGACACUUCGUACUAACAGCAUUUAUAAGAUCAUCAAGCCAUUUAACUCUAAAAAAGGAUUUAAUAAAACUUUACAUUAAGAUUUUUGAAAUUUAAAAUAUAUUAUUAAAAUAAUAAAAAAUAAAAAAAUUACGCAUUACAAGUAUAAUAUAACUCGUAUAUAUUGUAUAGCUAAGCCAUUAAAAAAUGGCUUCUCCAAACUUUGCUCCAUAACUUAAUGAGGAUGUUGAAAAUGUUGUCACAUGGCAAAUUCUUCUUUAUUCUUAAUAUUUUUUGUAUUUUUUAAUGUAAAAUUAUGUUAUUUUAUGAAAUAUUAAUUUUAUGUAAAAUUAAAUUUUGAAGUAAAAAUUAUUAUCUCAUAAAAUUAGUUAUUUAAAAUUUCAUUUAUUUUUAAAAUAUUCCUUAUGAAAAACAUUAUCUAUAAAAAUAUUCUCACUAAAAAAAUUUUCUUUCUAAUAAAAAUCUUAUUUUUUAUUAUUUAAUUUAAUUUAAAAAUAAAAUACAUUAAUAAAUUUACAUAUAAUGAAAUUAAUAAAAUUUUUAAAAUGUAGAAAAUAAUUUGAUCCUCUAAAAAGAGGAAGUUUUUUUUUUUAAACUAAUUAAAAUUUUUUUAUUGAAAAAAUAUUUUUUAUUAAUUAAAUUUUUAUAAAUAUUUUAAAUAUUAAAAAAUAUGAAAAAUAUUUUUAAAAAAUAUUUUCUAUAAAAAAAAAAAGCGUAAAAUUAAAAUGGAUUUACUAACAUCAGCUACUUCACAGAAUGAAAAGUAACAGUUUUCGUUCUUGUAUCCUGUAUUUUCAUGCUAUCAAACAUUAAGAUUAGUUAAACAUUUUCCAAUGUCAAAUUUUAUAUUAUAGAAAACUCUUCUUUAUUAAAAAAAUUUAAAAUUUGUAAUAUGAAAUUAUACUCAUUAUAUAUAUAUUAGAUUUAUUCAAAUGCCGAUUAAAUUAUACUCAUUUUAUUUGAAUUAUUAUUUCUAAUAACUACUUUUCAAAAUCUUAAAACUUUUCUUAAUAGUUUAUUAUUUAAAAACUAUUAUAUUUUUUUUCUUACAAAAUAUAAAAACUAUAUAUAUAACUAAUAUUAUUAAAAUAUAUUAGUAUUUAUAUGUAAUGUAAACUAUUUUUUUUUAUGGUUUUACUAUAUUUUUUGAAAUAUAAUUUUUAUUAAUCAAAUUCAGAAAAAACUUAACAUAAUGGAUUCAUACCGACUCAUAUCAACGUGUCGCCUCAUUAAACCUAACCUACGAUUCAAAGGCCUUAUUUGGUUGAGGUAAAUAAGUUGGGAAAGUUGAAUUUAUCAAGAAAGUGUAAAAAGCUCCUUUGUUUGGUUUGCACUAUUAAAAUAACUUACUGGGAAGUGGAGCAUUUUACUUCCUUAGUUAAGUGUAAAGGAAGUUACAAAUUUAUCCUUUAAUUUAUUACACUUUAUCAAGGAUAUUAUUGUCUUUUAAACUAAAAAACAAACUUAUUUCUUAAAAAGUUAUUUUGUAUACCAAACAUACUAUGUUUUUAUCAUACACCCUGAGAAGUAAAUUACCUGGAGGAAAUAGAUCAUAUUGAACCAAACAAGGCCAAAAUGUUAAGUGAAAAAACCUGAAAAACAACAGAAGAUAGGAUAUUACUCAAAAAAUCAGGACAAAAACACCAGAGGGUGGGACUAGCUUCCUGGCUAACAAAUAGGCAGCAGUAUUUGCUUGUCGCCUAAUCCAAGAUAAGGAUCAAUCAGACCUUUGUUGAAACAUAUACCUACAAUCAUGGACAAGGUGACUAAAUUCUGACAUAUCCUCUUUAACAAAUAGGACAACAUCAACCACAAGUUUUGAAUCUAAUUCAAUAUUGACAUGACUUAAAUUACAGUUAGAAAGCCAAAAAAGAGUUGCACGUAGAGCUUGUACCUCAGCUAUCUUGGAUUGAUUACUACCUCAAGAGUGCCCAAAACAAGCCGAAAUAGACAUGUCAGAGUCAUUACGAACAAUAGCACCAUAACUAAUAAUACUAGAAAGAGAAAACAACUCCUGCAUUCAUAUUACAUUUAAGUCUCCCAAAGCAACAUACCAUUGAAUGUUCAAAGGAGGAUUAAGAGUAGAAUUCACUGCACUUGAUUGUAGCUGAGUAUCUUCCCAAACCAACAAUAGCUCCUCUGUAGAACGAACAAUCCUUUGAAAAACAUGACUCUUUCCAUUCCAUAAAUAAUUGUUCCUGUUGUUCCAUAAGGUCCAAAAAAUCAUACAUACUCUUCCCUGUAAAGAGGUAUUAGAUAAACCCAGUAUAAACUAAAAUAAAUCAGACAUGUUAGAAAUAGAUUGUAAGGGAAUAUGCAUAUCCACAAUCUGCAGUAGCUCUAGAUCAAAAAAGUAAAACAUGAGGAUCGUCUUCUACCAUGCCACACAUCUUACAACCUGAACUAACAUUCAAACCUCUAUCAAUUAGAUUCACAUUGGAAGGAAGGAUACCUCGUAAAGCUCACAACAUAAAGUUUCUAACCUUUGGUGGUACAUGCAACUUCCAUAACUUGUACCAUGAACCCUAGAUUCUCCUAAAGACCGGAUAAUAAAUGAUAACCUGAUUUAACAGAAUAUAUUCCAUUUUUUGUAUAGUGCCACACAAGAUUAUCAAUUUGCCUAGAGAAACUUAAAUGAAUAUGAGAAAUACAAUCCACAUCACUAGGCAAUAAGAGAUUAGAUAAUAAUUGUAGGUUCUAGCCUGUGCUAUUCUCAUUGAUCAAACUCGAGACCCUAAAAUCUUCCAAUCCCUCAAGACAUGGGCUGUCCACAAAAAAGCCAUUAUCCUUAUUAAGCCGUGGAUCACCCCAAACUUUGAUCAUUUGUCCAUUUCCUACUCUCCACCUGUUACCAAAAUUCAACAAAUCCUUGCCCUGCAAAAUACUCUUCAAGACAAAAUUUGGGUUAGACCCUUCAGUUGCAUCUAGAAAAUCCAUUCUAGGAAAAAAUUUAGCUUUGAGUAUACAAAAAUGAAAAUAGUCUUGAUUGGAAACUAAUCUCCAACCUUGCUUGAUAAGCAUAACUAAAUUAAAGAAUCUAAGAUUUCGAAAACCCAAACCUCCCUUAUCUUUACUAAGACACAUCUUAUCCCAUGAUAAUCAAUGAAUCCUUCUUUUAUCCUGACCUUGAGAACCCCACUAGAAGGAGUUUAUCAUCCUUUCCAAUUUGUCACAUAAGGAGACAGGUAUAACAAACAAACUCAUGACAUAGAAGGGAAUAGCUUGGGUUAUAGAUUUAAGUAAAAUUUCCUUAUCAGCUUCAGACAAAAUUUUGCCAUUCCAACAUUUAACCCGUUUCCAUAGUCUAUCUGUCACAGGCCCUAGUUUGUAAACGGGUAAGGGGUCUUUGGUCAGGUUGGAGGGAGGAAGAAGAAGGGUGUUUAUCCUUUUUUUCUACCUAUUUUGUAGACUUGAGAGAGAAUCUACAAUCUCUUGAGUUAAGUACUCAAAAACUGGGUUAAAUUUUUCUCCUUAUUCAAAAAACAGAAACAAACAUCUCCAAUUAAGGAGGGAUUAUCAACUAUCUUGAGGAUUAUCCUCCUAUUUCUACUCAACAAAAUAAAUAAAGAAUAAAAAUAUUAACAAGAAAAUAAUAACAGCAGCAGCACAAAUUAGUUGCCGGAUUUGUUCUUUACUCUCCAUUUGACUGAAUCUUCUUAGGUCCAUGGGUGAACCGUUUGUAGUGCUUAAGGCUAGUAACAUUACUCCCUCCGCUGACAUUGCGAUUGUCCUCAAUCGCGAAAUCUGGAAAUCGUUGAGACAAAUCAGCGUUAGUUUCCCAAGAAGCAUCUGCUGGUGAAGAAUGUUGCCAAUGAAUUAAAACUUCAGAUUUCCCAGCUCUGGUUUGAUGACCCAAAACUGCUUGAGGCUGAGGCAUUGCAGACACAGGUUCAAUGAGAGGAAGGGAAGGACGAUCAGUAGAGAACCCUGCAAUAUAAGCUUUUAAGGCAGACACAUGAAAUACAGGGUGGAUUCGAGCAUCUGUUGGUAAAUCCAAUUUGUAAGCCAUGGUUCCUACGCGCUGAAUGAUUCUAAAAGGGCCAUAAUAUUUCGGCAAAAGCUUCUGAUGACGCCUAUUGGCCAUUGAAACCUGUCUAUAGGGCUGUAGGCGAAGUAGGACCAUAUCCCCAACCUGAAAUUCCAGUGGACGGUGCUUUUUAUCAUAAACUGCCUUCAUUUUAGCUUGUGCCCGAAGUAGGUGCUGCCGAAUAGAACCCAAAACUUCAUCUCUGGUUUGGAGAGCUUGGUCAACUGCAUCAAUCAUUGAACUUCCAGGAGCAUAAGAUAGUAAACGGGGCGGCUGUCUACCAAAAACCACCUCAAAAGGAGUGGCAUGAAGUGAUGUGUGGUAACUAGUAUUGUAACAAUACUGUCCCCAAGAAAUCCAGUCCAUCCAUUUGGUUGGAUGUGCACUAGUGAAGCAUCGGAGAUACAUUUCAACUGUUCUAUUAACCACCUCGAACUGCCCAUCCGUUUGUGGGUGAUAAGCAGAACUAAAAGCAAGUUUAGUGCCACACAAACGAAACAAUUCAGCCCAAAAAGAGCUAGUAAAAGUUACAUCACGAUCGCUAACCAUGGACACCGGAAUCCCAUGUAUCUUGACAAUAUUAUCAAAAAACAGACGGGCAACACUCACAGCAGUAUAAGGAUGCGAAAGGGGCAAGAAAUGAGCAAACUUAGAGAAGCGAUCCACCACAACUAAUAGAACAUUUUUCCCUUUGGACAUGGGCAGCCCUUCGAUAAAAUCCAAAGAAAUAUCUGACCAAAUUUGGGAGGGAACUGAUAAUGGUUGUAGCAGCCCUGCAGGUAAAAGGUUUUCUGUUUUGUGACGCUGACAAAUGUCACAGGCACGGACAAAAUCACGCACAUGGGUCUUCAUCCCCUUCCAGUAAAAGUCUCUUGUAAUUCGAAACAAGGUCUUUUGAUACCCCUCAUGGCCCUGAUUAUGAAUGGCAGAAAUAAUAGCUUGAAUAGAUGGAGAAGAGGAAGGCAAAAAAACCUUGUUUUUGAAGAGCAGUAACCCAUCUGUUAGACACCAAGAAUUUGCAGCAGAGUUGUGCUGGACAAGAGAGACCCGCUGCUGAAUUUCGGAGGAAGUUUGAUGUUCACGUCUGAUUUCCUCAAAAAUUCCAACUUGUGGCAUUGAAAUGGCCAUAAGAGCAGCUGAAUCUUCUUCUCGUCGCAAUAAAGCAUCGGCCACUGUAUUCAAACGCCCAGACCUGUACUCAACUGUAAAAGAGAAACUCAAGAAUUUACUGAGCCAUUUCUGUUGGAUAGGGGAUAAUAGUUUUUGUUCUAACAAAAAUUUGAGACUGUAAUGGUCUGUGCGAAUAAGGAAGACACGUCCCCAUAGAUAAGAAUGCCAGUGUUUGACGGCUUUAACCAACCCAAUUAAUUCUUUCUCAUAAGCUGGAAGGGAGCGGUGCCUGGCUGCCAUCAUUCGACUGAAAUAGGCUACAGGUCUGCCAUUUUGCAAGAGGACAGCCCCUAUACCAGAAUCUGAGGCAUCACACUCCACAAUAAAGGGUUGAGCAAAAUCUGGAAGAGCUAAUACAGGGGUGGUAGUCAUCAAUUCCUUAAGCUUGUUGAAAGCUUGCACUGCUUCGUCUAUCCACUGAAAUGAUUUAUGUCGCAACAUGUUUGUAAGAGGAGCUGCAAUAAGUCCAUAAUUAUGAACAAACUUGCGGUAGUACCCUGUCAAACCCAAAAAACCACGAAGUCCUCUAACUGUUUUAGGCUGUGGCCAACUGAGCAUAGCCUGGAUUUUUGAUGGGUCUGCAUGUACACCUUCAGAAGAAAUCACAUGCCCCAAGUAUUCUAUCUGUGAUUGGGCAAAGGCACAUUUGGAUUUUUUUAAGAAUAACUGCUGAUUUUGCAGUACCUCAAAAACAAUCCGAAGGUGAUGGAGAUGCUCAAUCCAUGUUCUGCUAUAGACAAGGAUAUCGUCAAAAAAAACAAGAACAAACUUUCUUAGGUAUGGCUGAAAUACCUCGUUCAUAAGUGCCUGGAAAGUGGAUGGUGCAUUCGUAAGGCCGAAAGGCAUGACCAGGAAUUCAAAGUGGCCAUGGUGAGUGCGGAAUGCUGUUUUCUUGAUAUCUUGCAGAAACAUGAUAAUAGCCAGCAACUAGAUCCAACUUUGUGAAAUACCUUGCUCCUCCCAAUUCUUCAAAUAAUUCAUCUAUUACAGGAAUUGGGAACUUAUCUUUAACUGUAUGAGCAUUCAAUUCCCAGUAAUCCACACAAAGUCGCCAUGAACCGUCUGCUUUGGGAACAAGGAUUACAGGUGAUGAAAAAGGGGAUUGGCUAGGUCGAAUAAUUCCCUUCUUCAACAUCUCAGCACACUGUCUCUCGAUCUCAUCUUUCUGGCCAUGAGGGUACCUGUACGGCCGUACCACAACUGGUCUGGUGCCCGGUUCCAAAGGAAUUCGGUGAUCACAGAAGCGGCUUGGGGGAAGAGCUUUAGGUUCUUUGAAGAUGCCGGAGAAUUCGGUGAGAAGGUGUUGUAAUUGGGUUUCGACAUCCGGGAAGGAAGAGACUGAAUUUAGGCUUACGGGUUGUUUAAUGGCAAGAUUUUGGAUUCCCUGUAAUUCGAUAUUGGUGCCUGAAAUAGAGAAAGCCAUUCGCAUAAUAAAAAAAUACCAAAGAAUGGGUCCCAGAGUUUUUAACUAGCUGACUCCCAGUACCACAUCAAUACCGCUUAGAGGAAGGACAAAAAGGUCUAUUCCAAAAGGGUGGCCCCCCAUCUGUAACUCUGAAUUGCGACAAACACCAGAACUGAAUAUCUGUUCGCCGUUUGCAACUCGAACCCGAAGUCCGUCUUUCUUUUCAAUCUUCGGAUCCACCUGUUUAACAAUAUUGGCAGCCACGAAAUUGUGAGUACUACCAGAAUCUAUGAGAACGAGAACAGAUUUACCAUUCCAUUCAGCCAUCACACGCAUAGUUUGAGCAUUGUGGGUUCCUGUAAUCGCAUUCAAAGAGAUUUCUGGUGAUUCUUCGCCGGUGUCCAUGUCACUUUCACCAUCAUCAAGUUCAAUCCAAAAUAAUCUUUUGCAUUGAUGACCCCGAGAGAAGGGUUCAUCACAGUUAAAGCAAAGAUUUUUCUUUCGCCGUUCCUCCAUCUCUGCUGGACUCAACCGCCGAAUACUUCUGUUGCCCUUGGAUUCUAUAGGAGCCGUCACCGAACGAUUAGAAAACCGCGAUGGUAAUGGGGUUCUUUUCUCAUAUAACCGAGACAUGCUCAUAGCAGUCGCUAGAUCAGUUGGUUGAUGUAAUUCCACUUCCACUGCAAUGUGGUCUUUUAAGCCACUGAUGGUCUUUUGUUAGUUUUCCUGCUCGGGGAACUAGAAUCUCAAAUUGUGUCUAAUAAUCUGCCACUGAACCCACCUGCUUCAAUUUGGCUAACUCUCCCAGUUUAUUACUGCGGACUGGUGGUCCAAAUCAAAGGUUACACUGUUGUUUAAGCUCUUCCCAAGUGGGAUUUGGGUUUUCGUCGAAAAGCUCAUUCAGCCAAUACUGAGCAUUUCCCAUUAGAUGGUAAGAAGCUAGAGUAACCUUUUCCUCUUCCGGCGUGUUCUGGUGUUUGAAAAAAUGCUCACAUGGUUGCAGCCAGGCUAAGGGAUCCUCUUCGCCACUGAAUUUGGGAAAAUCCAGUUUACUGAAUUUUGGAAGGAUUGAUGAGCCUUCGAAUGUACCUGAAAUGCCUUUGUUUCUAGAAGGCCGAAUUUGACUGCUGGCCUCAACAUCUGGUCCAGAAUUAGAGUUAGAAACAUCACGGGCAAUGGCUUCUAAUUUUGCGUUCAUCUCAUCUUGCCGGUUCUUGUUGUUUGCUUGUUCUUCCAAGAACAUUGAAAGGAUUCGAUCCAGCUGUUGUUGAAUGGUUUCACCCAUUACACCUGGCUCUGAUACCAAGUUUUCACAAGCCCUGGUUGGAGGGAGGAAGAAGAAGGGUGUUUAUCCUUUUUUCUACCUAUUUUGUAGACUUGAGAGAGAAUCUACAAUCUCUUGAGUUAAGUACUCAAAAACUGGGUUAAAUUUUUCUCCUUAUUCAAAAAACAGAAACAAACAUCUCCAAUUAAGGAGGGAUUAUCAACUAUCUUGAGGAUUAUCCUCCUAUUUCUACUCAACAAAAUAAAUAAAAAAUAAAAAUAUUAACAAGAAAAUAAUAACGGCAGCAGCACAAAUUAGUUGCCGGAUUUGUUCUUUACUCUCCAUUUGACUGAAUCUUCUUAGGUCCAUGGGUGAACCGUUUGUAGUGCUUAAGGCUAUUAACACUAUCUUUAAAAAGAAAAAAAAAACGCUUUUUUUACUUCUACCAAUUAAAAAAGUCAAACCUAAAUAUCUCCCAUGAUCCAGAGGAUUAGUAACACCUAAAACUGAGCAAACAUAGGCUUUGUUGUCACUAGUGCAAUUGGAACUAAAGAAGAUACCUGAUUUGUUAAAAUUAAUGGCUUGACCAGAAGCACGCUCAUAAGUCACCAGGAUUUCAUUCACAUACCCACUUUCCAAAGCAUCUGCUUUAAAAAAUGAAAAACUAUUAUCAGCAAAUAACAGAUGUGAAACUGUAGAAGCCCUAGGACAUACCGUGUUCCAUAAAUUAAACCUCGUCGUUCAGCAUUGUGGAAAAGAGCUGAUAAGCCUUCUGAAUAUAAUAUAAAUAAAUAAGGGCUUAGAAGAUCCCCUUGCCUCAACCCUUUUUCAGGUACAAUAGGACCUAAUUCAUCACCAUUCAAAGCGACAUUAUAUCUAACUGUAGAAAUACACAACAUAAUCAAAUCAACCCAUCAAUUACUAAAAUCCAACUGUAUCAUAACAAAUUUAAGAUAGUUCCAAUCAUCUGUAUCAUAUGCCUUGCAAAUAUCAAUUUUAAGAGCCACCUCCCCUUCCUUCCCCCUUGUUUUCCUUUUCAUACAAUGAAUAAGCUCAAAUACCAUAAUAACGUUGUCUAUAAUCAAUCUACCAGAUACAAAUGCAGGCUCAGAAGGAGAAAUAAUACUAGGUAAAAGUCAUUAACACCUAUAUCCCAGUACCAGGAAAAGCACCAUAACUAACAUCUUCACCAACCGAGGACCCAGUAUUGUCCCGAAGCCAUUGAUUAUGUUUCACCCUUGAUUGUCGAGCCAUCUUCCUUAGCCAAGAACCUCAUCCUUUCGGCUCAGCCAGACUAGCUCCCUCAAACAACCUGUUACAUAAUUUUUCAUUGUGGCCCAAUGGACCACAAAGAAAACAAAAGAUUGGCAGCCUUUCGUAUUUGAAUUACACAACAAAGGAUUGAUUACCAUGAAUAACCACACGUUUUGACCUCUUGAGCAGCAACCUCACAUCAAUUGCAACUCUAACCUGCAUGAAACUUCGCCAGCUUCCACCAAUACUAGUUGUAUCAUAAUCCACAAACUUGCCCACAAAAUUGCCCAACAAAUAUGCCGUAUACGAUGUUAUAUAACCAGGUGGCAAAUUGUGCAUUGAAUCCAAAAGAGAGCCGAAAACAGAGGAACUUCCAUCGAAAUUCUCCUGGCUGAAGAAGAUGGGUCACCAGUAGGUGAUUACUAAACGACCAAGGACCACCAUCAAUUACCCGUUGCAAAUCGACCUGGUUGAAGAAUUAAAUCCAGUAGAGUUUCGACCCCAAUUCUUUGAAGAACACUCCUCGGCCCAGACGCUAGAGAUUUGACAGUGUGGCUUUCAUAGCAUUGAAAUUGAUUUGCCAAUCUAUUAGAAGCUUACCUAUAAUAGUAAACAGAAUCAUCGUCGUCCAGCCGCAGCUUUGUAUCGUCGUCGUCCAGGUUUUAAGUUCGCGAAAGACUCCAUCGCAGAGAGAAAACUCGUUACUAAGAACGAGAGAGAAACCUUUCCAAUACAGAAGACUCUGAUUGCAC